GUGACAAUUAAGAACACACAAGUGAUAAGUUCGAUGAAUGAAGAUCUGAGUCUUGGGACACUUACACAUAGAUAAGUUGCAUCAAAUUGCUCCAUUCCCUCCUCCCAUAGGUGCCUGUUUUACUGUUAUGGAUAACUAGGGGUGACUUUGAUCAAUUUCUCAUUGCUUGUUCUAAAACUCAGCGGUAGCACAAACAUUAAACUCCAUAACACGCAUACAUAAGUAAACAUAAAAGUCUAGAUCUGAACCCUUGGAAACAUACAGACAGAAGUUUCGCAUCUAUUUAUUCAUCCAUUCCCUCCCCCCACAGGUGACUGUUUUACUGUUACGGAUAACUAGGGUGGCUUAAGAUCAAUUUCUCAUUGUUUGUUCUAAAACUCAGUUGUAGCACAAACAUUAAACUCCAUAACACGACAAACAUAAGUAAAAAUAAAAGUCUAGAGAUACUUACUCUCAUAGCGUCAGCAAUGGCAUAUGCUUCUGUUUCAGAACCAGCAGUCUCCAUAUUCUCAUUCUGGGCAAAGUAUAGAAAGAGUGCAUCAGCAUGUAAACAUUAACAAAGUGUAAAGUGUAUGUUUCGUCAACAAAUGGGAUGACACGGAUUUUCACAUCCCUCAUCCCUGUAUUAUAGAUUCUUGGAUGACUACGGUCCAGGGAACACAUCCUCUAUUGCAUUUUGGCUAGUGUGAGAUAAUUAUCUGGAUUAGGCAUAUCAAUGAUCCCAUUUUAUGUUCGGAAUUUGAACGCCAGAUAAAUCAUAAUGAGCAAAACCAAACAUGUUAUCCUUACUUCAGAAAGAAUGUACUUUCAUCUGCAGACAUGAUACAGCAAGUAUAUACCUAGUACAAUAUUACUAGUAUAUAAUUAUUUGAACUCCUCCAACAGACUCUCUGCAGUAACAUUUUUCGAAAUGUGGACUAUUUGCAAUACAUAGUUAUUUUGAGAAAGGAAAAGAAAUAAAGAUUAUGGGCCAAACCCAUGGCCCCCUAAACUUGGUCACGAUCUUUCACUUGGGCACCUCAAGUGGACGUUGUUCACUUUUGGCACCUCAUGUAGCCAUAAAGUGUCACUUUGACACUUUUUACACAAUCUGCUGUAAAUCUUCACGCGCAUGGCUACCUCGCUUCUUAUGUGGAUUAAUUGGCCAAUUAAAUUAUGCCAACUCAUUUUAAUUAUCCAACUCAUUAAUAUAUACACAAUUAAAUUAAAGGAUAAAAAUACAUAACAAACUAAUCAAUUAAUUACUGACACAUGGCAUUUUCUCAAUAAUUAUAAAAUUAUUUAAAACCUCCCCCUCCCCCCCAAAAGCCCCUAAGUCAACCUCUCCAUACCCCCUCCCCCACCCCACUCAAGUCAUCCUCUUCAACAUGCCAUCCAAGUAACAUUUCUAGCUACUCUUGAUAUACUACUUGUAUACCUAUUUUCCCCAAUAUUAGCUGCCAUUGACACUUCUUGAGCAACAAUGGUGAAAUUUUUUAAUUCGAUCAAUGGUGAAAAUUUUUUCUUGAUUUUCUCCUCCUUUUUUUCCUGUUAUAAUUCGAUCACUGAACAGAAAAUCAUUUUAAGAAGGAACCCAUUUUAAGAAACAAGAAUGGUUAAAAUCAACAUAAAGGAAAAUCAACCAUUCUUAUUUCUUGAUUUCUUGUUUCUUAAAGAAGGAAUUUUUUUUAUUUUUGUUAAAAUUAACCAUUCUUAUUUCUUAUUUCUCAAAUAGCGAAUUAACUGAACAAAUCUGGCAGCUGCUUGAAAGGAAAAAAAUGGUGGAAAAAAAUGGAUUAUUGAAAGAGUGAGGAAGAAAGAGAAGGAAGAUGAAAAAUUACGAAAAUGCCCUUGAAACGCGCUUAAAAUGCAUGUCACACACGCACCAUGAUGACUCAGCAAAAAGUGUCAAAAUGACACAUUUUUCUUUCUUUGAGGUGUCAAAAGUGAAUAACGUCCACUUAAGAUGCUUAAGUGAAAGAUCGUGCCAAGUUUAGGGGGCCACCGAUAGGUUUGGCCAAGAAUUAUGUAUUGCAGAGAGUCCACAUCUGAAAAAUGUGUAGAUGCACAUAACAGUUAUGCAUAGUAAUAGAUUAUUUAGGUGAAUUAAUGCAUAUACAUAUGCAUGGUAUCUAAAGUUUUCACUGACAGAACCCAGAAGCAUUAGGAUGCAUGGACAUCUUUGAGUAUUCAUAAAUGUAUGCAAGCAUGCAGAUGAAUACAAACGAUUUUCAAGGUUAUUUGUCCAUAAUUCAUUUGCGUGUAAGGGCUUUUGUCAUUUGGUAGACAAAUGCGACUCACAGGUCUCUAUGUGCAGUCGCCACCAUGUGUCAUCCUAAGAUCAAUCAUCCAACCCUCCUUAUGAGUGUCUUUGAUAACUCAUCUUAUGCUCCAAUUAAGCAACCAAAAUGAAACAUGAGCUCGACGAAUCAUUCUACCCUCCUCAUAUUAACUCGUUCCAGAAAAUAAAUUUAUUCAGAGAAAUUAAAUUGGAGGCAAACCGUCUUACCUGGGUACCAAAUGAGUUUAUAUAUAGGUAUACAGGCUUUGUGGGAUUGUCAUAAUCCAACCACAUAAACUGAGCAACAAGAAGCUCAGUAACAGCUUCUACAAUCUGUGGAAAUCAAACGCUAAAUCAAGAUGAGAAUCAGGAUAAGAACAAUGCAAAUGUAAAAUGAACUCAACCGGUUAACGGGAGGCAAGAUCUAGGAAUAGGUUAGUACAGGCAUGCCCAGAUAGACAAUUCUAGCAUCUAAAAGCAAAGAUGGCAAAUCAGGAGGUGCAGUAUCGGGUCUUUCAGAUCCUCUUGCUCCUCCACGGUACAUGCUGACGCUCAUGCUGCAUGUUGAAGGGUGUCGUCCUUUCAUGCCUGACAUACUCCACAUUCCACCAUUGUUCAGAUAGUUAUUGGAUGAAGAUAUACUCUCCUGUAAUCAAAAUACAUUAAAUUUCUUUUUUGUAAAAAGACAGAUUUGGGAAUGGGACAUGUAAAUGAAUUCAACAGACCUAACAUCAUAAAGACAAUAAAAUACGUAGAAACCAAUCAAGAAAUGAGUAUACAAAAGAACUUACUUCAGUGAUUCUUUCUGACUGCCGCUGGGCCGGGUUAUCUUCUGUCAUGAACAUAUCCAUCUGUGACGGACUAAGGCCAUAAAGAUACUGAGGGGCAUUCUUAUAGUUGUUCAGUACUACAAAAUUAUAGAAAGCAUGAUUAAGAUCAGAAGCUGCAGAACAAAAAUUCCAGCCAAAUCUUCACAAACAUAGGAGAUUUAAAAGAUAAAAACAUAAGGAACAAAGUAAAUCUAGAAAGUACAGUGAAGAAGAACAAGGAAACUGCUGUAAGGGUGCAAAGAACCAUUUCACAACCACCAGAUUCACUUGAAUUAUGACCAUAGAGUUCUGAAACAUUUUUCCUACUUCAGAAUACAUAAAGUAAUUCCCUCUUUCUCUUCCCCCUUUCUUUGUGUUUUUACACUAUGCUGCGUGGACUCUUCAAAAUGGUUGUCGCCGCCAGCACCCGUGUCGGAUCCUCUAGAAGUACACUACUUUUGGAGGAUCCAAUACGCACCUGUCGACACUAUUGAAAUGUCCGAGCAACAUAGUUUUUACAUCAAACUAAUAUGCGCUUGAAUUUCUUCAGCCAAUAUAGAGGCACAAAUACCCUCACUCAGAUCUCUGUUCCACAAUUUGGAAAACCAAAUAACAAAACAACCUGUGAGAGUUUAAAGCUUAAGCAACACAAACAGCUACAUAUAUUCAUAAGUAUGGAAAAACUUGAGAUAUAUUACAAUUAAUAAACAAUGUCUAUAAAGAGGCUGUUUCAUGGACCAUGGAUUAUCUGCUAUAGGAGCAUUUCUUGUAGAAAAAUAUAUACCCGUGGGCAUGUGCCAUUAAUGAUUAAUCAAUACCUUUUUCUAUAAUGCCAAUGUGGACUCUUCUUUUUUUUUUCUUUUGAUAAGUAAAUAUAGGUGCUGCUUUAUAAUUGCCUGCUAACUCCUAAUUGAGUUACCAAGCCCCUUUUUCUCCUCCCUCUUUUUCUUAAUAAGUGGGUUCUUUUCCCUUUUGUGAUUUUAUAUUUUUGCUUUACAGGAUUACUCUAAGUUCGCCAAACUUGCUGGAAAUAGCUUUAGUGAACCUGGCAAGAUGCCUAUUUGUAUUCCAAACUCAGUUUUUACACAAACUGCAUAUAAUGUACAUAAUUCACAUUUAAAAAAUCACUACUAGAUUAUUCUCAGAAGUUCCUUACUUCACUGAAUCGAGUAAAGCUUCGUACAUUUUCAUGGAUAAACCUUGACGGUGAAACAAAAAAGGAGAGCCAGAUAAUUGCAUUGACUAUAGUACUGAAAUUUACAAAUAAUUGCAUUCUAAAGUAAAACAUUAUGAUCAUAGGCAAAGCACAUAUUGAAUGAGGCAACCCCUUCCCCUCCCUUCUUGAUUAGAGUUUCUGACUAUCGGUCUUUGCAGGCUUCACACACAUCUCAACAUCAAAUAUCCCCUUUCUCUUUCNNNNNNNNNNNNNNNNNNNNNNNNNNNNNNNNNNNNNNNNNNNNNNNNNNNNNNNNNNNNNNNNNNNNNNNNNNNNNNNNNNNNNNNNNNNNNNNNNNNNNNNNNNNNNNNNNNNNNNNNNNNNNNNNNNNNNNNNNNNNNNNNNNNNNNNNNNNNNNNNNNNNNNNNNNNNNNNNNNNNNNNNNNNNNNNNNNNNNNNNNNNNNNNNNNNNNNNNNNNNNNNNNNNNNNNNNNNNNNNNNNNNNNNNNNNNNNNNNNNNNNNNNNNNNNNNNNNNNNNNNNNNNNNNNNNNNNNNNNNNNNNNNNNNNNNNNNNNNNNNNNNNNNNNNNNNNNNNNNNNNNNNNNNNNNNNNNNUCUUUCCCUUUCUUUAUUUAUAUGUUAAUAACAACGAGAAAAUACAGAAAGAAAGCAAGUGCGAUUUCAAGAGAAUUCUAAAUAACAUUUAAAACUACAAAUGAUUUCAGCAAUAAAGAACACUAACACCUCAUUUGUUUGAACUUAAUAAGGUCAUAAUCUUAAUUAUUAAAAUUUCAGUCAUUAAGUUUAUUUUUUAGAUCUAAAUUUAAAUCAUGCAUUUUUCUUGCUUUCACAACCAUUUAAUGGGUCUAAAUUGAAUCUAACCAAUUAAGAUCUAUACGAAAAUCUUAAUGUCAUUAAGAUAUCUAUUCAACAAUUCUAUAAAGAUGGAAGUUAUCACUGCUACAUCUACUUCUACCCACAACCACCCACAACCACCACCCCCUCCAGUCACCGCCCAAAACCAUCAACCAUCAUCGCAUUCACUAUCACUACCGACAAUCACCACCAUCAACUACCACUGUAUUACUAACUACCGUUAAAUGUGUAUUUUUAAAAAUCGAAUACCGAAAUUACCAUACCAAAGUUUCAAAUACCAUACCAUAGCAUGUCCACCCCAAUCUGCAACCACCAUUAAAGGUCAACUACAUCCCAAUCAUGACGAUAAUAUCACUACCACCAAUCACCAUAUAACUUUUUAAAAUAUUUGAUAUGGUAUUAGAUUAAUUUAUUAUUUUAUUUGAAUUCCAUAUUUAUUACUCCAUUUUUAAAUAAAGACAAUUUUUACACACUGAAUUGUUAAAUAUUAAUAUUCAGAUGGAGAUUUUUCAAUCUUAAUAAAAACAAAUGAGGCCUAAGAAGAUAUCCAAGAAGGAAAACAUAAAGAUAAGAGAGAAGAAUAUAAACUCUAAAGCUUCAGAAAACGUGUUCCGGAGAAAGGAAAAUCAAUGAAGUAACAAAGUCUCAAUCCAAAUAAUCUGACCCGUUUCAUUUCAAUACUAAAUAAACUGUCUUUAAGCCAAACUAGAGGUACUUACGUCCAUCUUUGAGAUUUUCUUGUCUGAACUGUUUGGGUAUAUGGUCCGCAGACUUAGCUACUGGAGACCUGUAGCAAUACCCUCGAACGCCGUUUGUUCUGCGAUUGUGAUCAAAAGUUGCAGAGAAGAACUUGGGACUGGAAAGGAAAGCUGAGCCCCGCUCGCAAUUAUCAGGAAUAGUCGCGCAAGAAAGGGGACAGAGAAGCAGGGAAGAAGCCAUGGACAGACACUUUUUCGGUCAAAAGAAAACACACUUGUCCUGGUGUAUACCUCCUGAUGAAGGUCGAGGAAGAAGCGUGUGUGGCUGGGAAGCCGCUCCCUUUGCUUACCAAUUUAUGGGCCUCAUUGGAGAACGUGUAGCCCAAAAGAAGCCCAAUUCUUCUGGUGUUGUAGUGUCCAAUUUAAUUGGAUAAACUUCAUAAAUAACCAUUUCUCGGAUUACUAAUAAUUGCAAAUUAACAAUUUAUAUUUACUUUAAAGGGGAAAAGGAUCAAUAAUUAUCCUUCAGUUUAAAAAUUGAUUAAAUAUACCGCUCGUCAUAUUUUGAUAUCAAAUUUAUCCUCGAUUUCAUACUUUAGAGAUAAAUUUAUUCUCAUUGUUAAGAAACUUUUUAAUUAUAUCAUUCUUUUAACCAAAAAGCUCAAAUCAACAUUAAAUGCCAAAUUUUUCAAAAAUACUACAUACCUUAAUCUAACCUAUCCUAUUCGAUCCGACCCAUAAGAAAAAACCACACAUACCCCUCCCUCAAUUCUGUUCGGCGAAUUUUUUCAAUGAGUAAAUAUACUUCUCUUUCAAUAUGCAAUACUAGUAAAUUGUUUAUAAAUAAAUAAAAAAUAAUAUGAAAUGGGAUAGGACAAAAGCAUAAAACUAGAGAAAUUGUCUAGUAUUGACUUUGCUCCUGCACCAGUUAUGCUCAAACUUCAAAAUUUGAUAUGCACUUUUGUGUUCAUCUAAAUUCUAGAACUAGUGGAUAAAUUUUCUGAACAAAUGAUAUGAUAAAAAAUUCAUGUAGAUCAAAAGUGUAUAUAGAGACAUAAGAAUGAAGAUAUGUCAUGAUUGACACAUAGGGAGACCUCUAAACUCAAUCAUCCAGAGAACUAUACAGUGAGCCUAGUCUGUUGCAUUUGGUUGCUAAACAUCAUUUUUUAUGAGAUCAAAAUUGAUGCGAAUCCGUGAAUUAACGAAAAGGUAUAUUUAUUUCUAUUUGCACUUAUACAUAUCAAUUUUCACAAGCUAUGUACUGAUAAAUAUCCAAUGACCUAAUAUCAUUGGAAAAAUUCGACGAACAGAACUAGGGGGAGGUAUAUUUAUUUAUGAAUUUUUUGUUGUUAGGUCAAGUUAAACGGGUUAGAUUACGAUUUUUUUUAUUUUUUAAAAAGAAGCAUUUAACAUUGAUUUCACUGUUUAUGUUAAAGGAAGAUUUCAUGUGAAAAGUUUCUUAACAAUAAGGGUAAAUUUGACCAUAAAGAAUAAAAUUGACUAAAUUUGACCCAAAAAUAUGACGAAUGUUAUAUUUAACCAAUUUUUUAAAGUAAAGAGGUAACUUUGACCCUUUUCCUUAUUUUAAGCUUAGAAGUGUUGUUGAACUUUUCUCUUUUAUUUAAAAAAUUAUGGUAGAUAAAAUUUUCAUUUUUUUAAUUUAAAUAUUAGGUCUAUUUCUGGACCAUUUUAUUGAUAAUCAAAAACAAAAAUAAGAGGCGAAGCCCAGUUUGUAUUUAAAAAAAAAAAAAAGGACCAGGCCCAAAGCUAAAAUAUAGUCCAAAAAAAAUAAAACGAAAAGUUUCCUAAACAAUUACAAAUAUAUGUCGGUUGUCCAAUAUUACUCUAUACUCUUCAUCUCCUGCACUCCCCGCCUUUGCAAAAUAUUUCCUUUGUGUUGUGUUUGACACUUCAUCUUGUACCUCAUCUAGGUUACUUUCAAGCUGGAUCCUCUUCUAGCUUUGGCCGUGCUCUUUCUAUUAUCUUCACUUGCAUUUGGUAAGUUAUGAACCCUCCAUUUCCAUUUGCUUCCGACACAUAGAUUUGAUAUUUUCUUUAUUUUUCUAGGUGGUCAAGGUUUAUACCCUAGGACUGAAGUAUAGAGAUGUAUUUGCUCAGAUUUUUUAUGCUUCAUAAGUAUUUUUUAGCUUUCUCUUUUUUUUCAGCUCUUUUUUCCUUUUGAUCCUGAUGCUUUGCUUGCAUUUUUUCAAACGUUGGUGGCUCAUCUUUUGCUCUUCCAUUAAAUUUUUAAGACUGAGUUGUUGUGAUGGAAGGCUCUAUCUACCCCUCUUUUAGCGAUGUUUUUUGGUAGCCAGGGGAUCUAGCUAAGUUUAGCACAGAUUCAUUGUCAUCUUCCUAUUAAAAACUAUUAAGUCUAUGCUCAUACUUCUUCUUUGACCUUGUGGAAAUAUAAUUAAUUGGACCCAUUGUAGCCUUUGCUUUGUUAUGUGACUGCUUCUCCUUUCUUUGCAUGUUUUUCAUUAUCCUCAUUGGAUGUUUAUUUUUUGUGUCCGCAUCCUCAAAUUAGGGAUUUGGGAUUUAUUUAUGUUUAUGUGCUUUCUUACUGUUGUUGGUAGCUUAUUAAAAUCAUGGCAGUCCUUUUUGACUUGUGCAUCUAUUAGCUCAUUUGUUAAAACAUCUGCUAUUAUGUUUCCUUCUUUGAAUGUAUGGUUAACUUGUUCUUGAAUCAUUUGUACCUUACAUCUUAUAUCCUCUAUUUGCUCAAUCAAUUCCCAAGGUACUUGCCACUAUCUGUUAAUCAUAUUCUUUAAAGAUAGGAAGUUUGUUUCAGUUAUCACUCUAUUGGACACCUUGUCCAGACAAAACUUCAAAGCCUCUUGGAUAGCCCUGGGUCUCUGCUUCUAUAUUUAUGGUUAUCCCUAAGCCUAUCACCUUAGAAAAGAUCAGAUCCCCCUUCUCAUAUCGAAUGUAGAAGGCUAAUAUACUAAUUUUUAGAUUGCCUCGACAUGCACCACCAAUGUUGCAUUUUAAUAUGCGUUUAUCAAUAAAUUUUUAAGUAAGACUAUGAUACUGUAAUAUUGGCGUGUAAUCCCUUAACUUUUGCACAAUUUAAGGCCAAUCCUCUUUUUUUUUAUCAUUACCCAAAGAUAUAACAUUUUCAAUAGCUUUUUUAUCAUGUUUUGAAUUUGCCACUCCAUUUCCAUAAAGUUAUUUUCUUCAUGUUUUAUCCUAUUUCUUCUCUUUCAUAUGGUCCAUAUUAAGAUUGCUGGUAUAGCUUUGUAUACUGCCUCCAACUUUGGUGUUGACUGUAAUGUCCACUAGGUGGUAAUGAUUUGUUGCAAAUGCAUCUCUUCAAUCUCUAGCCUUGUAAACAUAGAAAUCUGUCUCCAUAGCCUAGUGGUUAUGGGUGUUGUUAAAAUAUGCAGGUCAUUAUCUCCUCCUCCUUUACUUUACAACACCAUAAUCUUGAGACAAUAUUAAUCUUCAAUCUCUUCAAAUUAUCAUCAAUUGCAAUUCUCCCUUUCCAGACUUUCCACAUGAAAAAAUUAACCUUAAAGGCAAUUCUUUUACCCAAAUUUGUUUGUACGUCUCUUUUGUCUCAUUUUUUGCCUUAGAAUUUCCCAUGUUGAUUUGAUAGUGACUUUACCUUGAUUAUUCCUCAUCCACCAAGGAAUAUCAUUCAUUUGCAAGUCUGUAGGUGGCUUAAUGUCUUUAACAAUGUACACUGUUAUUUCUUCUGAUAACUUGCUUCUUAGCCUCUAUACAUCCCAUUCUCUGUGUAUGUCAUUCUCUAUCCUUAAUAAAAUCCCUUACUUUUAGUUAUUUUUCAACUGUAUUGUCUUCAUCUACAUAAUAAAGGCCCCUUUUUUAGUCUAAUUGUCAACCCAGAAGCUUGAAGCACCUGCCUUCACUUGCCACUAUAUGUUGUGUUAUACCUCUUCCCUUACUAAUAUCAUUUUUGUCCAAACAUUAGAAACAUAAUAUCCUCUUGCUAUGAUAGGGUGGAACUUUUUACAGUAUUCAUUCCACAUGAAUUUAUGCCAUAAAGAGGAAGUGAAGAUUCUAAAGUUCCACCAUAACUUAGCAAAUAAGGCCAUUGAGACAGCAUGUAAUGAUUUAAAGACAACUCCCCCUUUAUCUUUAAGAUAGCACACAUUAUCCCAUGAUACCUAGUGUUUAUUCCUUGGUCUACUUACAUUAGCCCAAAAUAAUCUAGCAAAAAUUUAAUGCAACUAAUUGAUGACACUCUCUGGAGGGUUCAUUGCUAAUAGUAGAUAUAUAGGUAUAGAUGUAGCAUAUAUGCUAUCAAAAUGUAUCUCCCUCUAAAUGACAAUAGUUUAUUGUGCCAAAGACUCACUCUUUUCAUUAUCUUCUUUAUCAACUCUUCAAAAUGACACUUAUUGUUUUCAUAGAAAAUAGGACAACUAAGAUAUAUGAAAGGUAAGGAGCUUUGUCUCACUGCUAUAAUUCUCUUAAUCUAAUCACAUACUCUAAUUGGUACUUUCUCAUGUAGAAACACAAGGCUAUUCUCUAAAUUAAUCAUCUUCCCUAAUACCAUUUCAUAAUCUCUCAAUACCUUUAUUAUCUUUUUCAUAGACCCAAGAUGACUAGAACAAAAUAAAAUGGUAUCAUCUAUAUAAGACAAGUGAUUUAUUUCUAGACUCCACUUAAGCAUCCCAUAUCCUUUGUGUUAGGGUAUUCAAAUAAAAUAUUUAAAUUCCUUGAUAGUACCUUAGCAGUAAUGAUAAAAAGUGUAGAUGAUAUGAGAUCACCUUGUUUAAGAUAUUUAGAAUAUUGACAAAAUCCAAAAGAUUGGCCAUUCAUCACAAUUGAGUACCAAUUACAACUUAUAAUCCUAACUAUCAUUUCAAUGAUUCUUUUAUAGAAGCCAAAGCUUCUCAUCGCCCUCACCAAAAACAUCCAUAACACCCUAUCACAUGCCUUGGAUAUGUCAAGCUUAACCACUACAUUAUGCAACUUGUUUCUCCUAUUGAAGUCUUUUAUAAUCUCCGUGCUAGUAGAAUAUUUUCAUUAAUACUUCUACCUUUGACAGAAAUAGUCUAAUUAGAAUAUAUUAAUCUAGGUAGCACCUUAACAAUUCUCUUAUGAAGUACUCCUGAAAUGAUCAUAUUAGUAAAAGUUCUUAAGUUAAUAGGCCUCAAAUCUCCAAAUUCGGAGCAAUAUCCUUCUUAGGAAUGAGAGCUAAUUGGGGUGAGUCAUAUACCUUAGUAGUUCUUGUCCAUAAAAAAAUUCCUUCACUAUAUUAGUUAUGUCAUCACCAAUGAUCUCCCAUCUAGAUUGAAAAAAUUAUCCUAAAAAACCAUCUGGUCUAUAAGCACUAUCUGCAUUUAGUGAGAAAAACAUCUGCUUCACCUCUUCUUUUGUAGGCAUCUUCCCUAUCUCUUUAUCUUCCUUCUUAGUGAUUAAGUGAGGGAUACUAUUAAUCAUCACAACAGUAUUAACCUUCAUAGUUUCUUUGAACUUCUCCUUAAACACAUUUACUGCCUCCUGCCUUAUGUUCUAAGUAGUAGCAAUUAUAUCCCCUGCCUUGUUUUUAUUUCAUUAAUUUGCAUUUUUCUCCUCUUUUCCUUCACAAAAACAUGAAAAAAAUAGUAUUUCUAUCUCCAUUUGUAAAACAUCUCAUUCCAGCUUUCUACCUCUAGUAUUCCUCCUCAGUGUGUUGAUAUCUUUUCAAAUUUCCUUUUGCUUUACUGAGCUAGCUUUUAUUAGCUUAAAUAGGUGCUAUUUCUAACUACACCCCCUUUGUUUUCACUAUAUCUUUCAAAGUGGCAAUAUUUUGGAAAAUAUUACCAACGGUUUUCUUAUUUCAUUAAACUUGAGCAUUUUUCACCUUUUUUAUUUUAGCAUGAACAAUAGAAAAAGGAGACCAGUUCAUCUCUUCAUUCCAGCUUUCCUCCACCAGUUUAGUAAAUUAUUUAUGCUUUGCCUAGAUAUUCAAAAAUCUAAAUGGUUUGACCAUCUAUUCUAGUGAUGUAUUGAAUAACAUAGGUAGAGAUGCAUGAUUAGAGCCCUAUUUAAUCAGGUGGUGAACCUCACCAUUGGGAAGUAACUACGUAAUCUCAUUAUUCUUAAGAACUCUGUCUAAUCUCUUGAGUAUACUAUUCUCUUUAAAUUCUUUCAUUCCACCAUGUAUUACGACUUUCUACAAACUUUAACUCAUUUAAUGCACAUGCAUUGAUGCAAUAAGAAAAAACUAUUAUUUCCUAUAGUGUUACAAGAAGACCUUUCAGUUUCUCUGAAUCAUCUAUAAUUGUAUUAAAAUCUCCACCUACCAGCUAAGUAGUAUUGAUUUGGUCUACAAUAUUCUCCAAAUCCUCCAAAAGAUGCAAUCUUUCUAGUGCAUUACAGCUAGUAUAAACACCUAGAAAAUAUCAUUUUUUUCCCUUAGCUAAUAAUUCAUGGCUAACUAUUAAAUAGUAUCUCUUCAACUUUUCUUCUCCUACUUCUCUAAAAAAUUCCAAAUUUUGGUUGAACUAUUGACCUUCAUAUUAGGAAUUCCUAAUUUGCUUCUAUAGGUCUCUAUAUUAAUAGGGCUUUGGAAAGGUUCUAGUAAAAUAAUAAAUGAGUAAUGAUGUCUCCUGUGCAAGUCUAGUAGUCUCUCAAAAGAAUUUUGAGUUUUACCAAACCUAACAUUCCAAAAUAUGACCUUAUUAAUUAUUUAUCAGAGGUAAAAGAUGAACCCUUUUUCCUCCUUGUAUUCAUUGGAUGUAGUUGUACAAGCUUUGUCAUCUUCUUGCUCUUCUUUUGAUUUGCUCUAUCUGCCUUGGUGACAAGUCCGUACUUUUAUUAAUCUCCUCCACAUUAACCUCCAUACUUCAUCAUUUUUAAAUUCUGCUUGUCUUUGAUUUUUCAUCUGUUAAAUUUGGAUUUUUGGGAUCUCUUCUUUUGGCUCUCCUCUUUCUUCCUUAUCUCACCAUCUUCUGUAUUUGCUUUAUCAUUUUGUUUUUUUCUUUUUCUAUUCCUGAGGUGAAUUUAUCUCUAAUCACCUGCUAGAUCAACUACCUCCUGACUUGUUUUCUUUUAUGACUUUUAUGAUUAUCAUAACUUAUUCACCUCCUAUUCAUUGUGUAUCAUUUUAAAAUGAUUUUUGGUCAUCCUUUUAUUUGUUGUUGCUACUUAAUUUAAUCGAAUGAACCGUGUCAUUCCCCAUAUGUGGCUAAUUUUUUUCCUUGUUAUCCUUGUCCUUCUCACUGACUUUCUUUGAUUCAUUUUUUUCUGGUGUUAUAUCUUUGUCCUACUUUUCCUCAUUAUUAUCUUCUUUUUUGUCCUCCAUAUCCCUAAACUUAUUUCCAAUAGGCAGCUCUUGGCCCUUUGUUUGUGGUCUUGGAUUCCACUUUCGUUCUAUUCUACCUCAAUAUGGCGGUCUACCUUUUCUGAAACCUUUUUUCCUUUUCUGUUCUUGAAAUUGUUUACUUUUUCCUUGUUUGCUUUGCCUUUGUCUCCUUUUUUAUUCUCUUUUCCCUCCUUAUUAUCUUUUGUUGUUAGAUUUCCCCCUUCCUUUUCUUCCUCUUUAGAUUUUUCUUUAUUUUAUCUUUUUUUCUCAUCUUUAGGGUACAAUUCCGAAUGAGUAACAAAACGUUCUUUCUCAUUGUUCCCAUAUAAUUUGUAUGUCCUACAAUAUUUAGGCACAUAGUCAUAUCUAACUGUCACCUAAUUUUUUUUUACCUUACUAUUUUUCAUUCUCAUUUCCACAUUAAUCCCUUUUGAAAAUUCCCUAAGUAUUCAACUUUCACUUAAAUCCCUGCACAUCUUGUCCUAGUUUAUUUUGACUGGCAAAAUGUACUUGUAAAGGUUUUCCAACUACUGCUGCCAAAGAAAAGACAAUCUUUCCCAAAGAAAUUUAAAGGCAGUGAUGGAAAAGAUAUCCAUGCUAUUGCUAUUGAAGUUUCCUCCUCCAGAUCAAACAAAGGAUACUAUUUAAUGGUACCCAUGGGAUAUGACCAAUCAUUAUGAGUGUUGCAAAAUUAUGGUUUUGAUAAUAGACUCACAUAAUCAUUUAAUCUCAUAGCCCUAGUUAAAAUGUCCAUAUUACUCAACAAGCUUAUGUUAACUUCCCCUUUAAAUUUGCAUUGUUUCAAAAUUACCCUCCUUAAAUCUAGAAUCUCUGGCCAUCAAUAUGUGAACUUCCCUAUCACUGCAUUCUAAAAAUACUCAUUAAUAAUCAUCUAAUUUACGUCCUCUUCUCCCACAUUAUUCGUGGCUCCCCAUGUAAGUAUGCUACCUGUUUAAGUAGAAUGGUUUAUGUUUUGGUUGAGAUUGAUUGGGCUUAUCAUGUUAGCAUUAGUAGUCUUUUUUGUUUUUUCAGUCACUACAGGUGCAGUUGGCCUAACCAACACCAAUAGCGGCUAGCCAUCGGCCAUGUUUCUGGUGGUCAUAGGCAACUUUUAGGGUUUGACGAAAGGCUUUCUAAAGAGCAUUUUUGUAAAGUACUAUUUGUAAAGUACUAAAAUUUUAUUAGUGUGUAUGCUCUACAAGUGGGCUUAGAUGAGGAGUUUAAGAAACUAUUUAGAGAAUUUGGAUGAGGUGGUGAGAGAAAUACCAGACACCAAGAAAAUAUUAGUGAUUUUAAUAACCACAUUGGAGUUACUUGUAGUGGUUUUGAUAGGGUCCAUGGAGGCUUUGGUUUUGGGGACAGAAAUAGUGGUGGAAACUCGCUUCUGGAUUUUACUAAAGCCUUCGCGAUUGUGAUAACUAAUUUAUAAUUCCCUAAGAAGGAUAAUCACUUGGUUACCUUCCGUAGCAUGGUGGCUAAGACUUUGAUAGAAACCUACUCUUAUGGAAGAGUGAUAAUGCUCAACUUUCAUGUCAAUUUAAGUGCAAGGCAAUCGUGUUAAUAUAUUUACCCAACUUUGGAGUUGGGGUCGAAUCCAUGAGGAACAAUGCGAGUGGCGAUCAAAUUAAUUCGAAAUGAUAGAUACAAGUUAAAUUCAAACAAAUGGUACAAAAAGAUAAAAUGAGGGAUAGGUUCCUACACUAAUGUUUCUUUUUGAGUUUUUCUAGUAUAAAUUUGGGGCUACAAAUAAUUAGAGUUUUAACAAUUAUGCACGAAUCUCGAGAUUAUACAUUACUAAGGGAGUGACAUGUGGGAGUUAGUAAUCAACAUCAAUUUAGUAAAUCAAAUAUGGGUAGGCUAGGUUACAGAUUUUAAUGCUAGUCUUUAGGCAAAACACCAAACUUUCACGUAUUGAUUCUUUCAAAUACCUAAUAGGUGUGUUCAACAAUUGGUAACCACAACCUCAAUCUAGGCAUCCCUUUUUCUAGGAUAAUACCCAUGGCAUAGUCAACCUCACAUUCACCCUUAUGUCUAAGAUAGUGAAAAUUUAACAAACUACACACAUAAUUGUCUAUCAUUGCUUUGGUCUCCACAUCCUUCUUUCGAGGAUGAUAUGGAUUCCUACACUUCACCCAAAACCCUUUUUUUGAAGAUGGCCUUGAACUUCUAGAGUUCGGAGCUUUCACUCAUCAAACCCAUGUGGGUAUUUAGGGCUUUCACUCAUCAAAUCCCAACCAAAAUAGCAUAGCAAUGAUAAAACCCAUAAAUAUGAACUACCAAAUAGAUGCUAACAAUAACAACCCACACACACUUAAACCUCUAUUCACACAUAACUCCAAGAGGAAGAUUUAGCUACAUAUAAGAUAAAUAAGCAUAGAUAUACCCAUAAUCUCCAUUGAAAUGAAUUCUUGAAGAAUUAAGCGAAUGUUACUUCAAACUUGGCUCUCCCACAAUAUCAACAAUAGAAGUGAGAAAAUCUUUCACUUAGAAAGUCUCCGAUGUAUUCUUCACCCAAAAUUUAUAAAUAUUUUUUUCUCUAAAAAUUGAGGCUAUGAAGUCUAGAGCUAAAAUCUAAAAAAUUUGGGAAAAUAGAAAAUUAUCUCUAAGGCUAGGGUUUAAGUCUUUUUGUUAAAUUGGGAUCAACAUGUGUAUUUACAGUUUUGUCCUUGGUCUGAAUACUUUCGCUGAGCCACGAUCACACCAACUUGACCGUGACCACAGUUACGCAACCACAUCUAACUCACACGACCAUGUUUAUUAACCUUGGAAUAACUGUCGUGAUCGUAGUCAUCGGACCAUGACCGCAGUAUCUAUGGCUCUUCUAUUGUAGGUCUUUGCAGUUUCUUUCUCCCUCUUUGAUCAUUUUAAGAUCCAAUCCACACCUUUUGAUCUAUUCAACUUUAUGCCUGCAAAGAGCGAAUAUUAGUGCAUUUACUCAUGAAUAUGUCUCAUUUAUCCGUUCAAAACAAGGUAAUAUGCACGAAUCAUAAGUGCGAAUGAGUGGUAAAAUUACCACUCAUCAAAGAGAGAUAGAUACAUGUGUAAGGAUUGUAAUAUUUCCCAAGUGAGAUCCUUACUACCCAACAAAAGCUCUUGGUGAUGGACUUAGAGAUAAAAAAUAGUAGGAAGAAGAAGAAUCUUUAUGGCCGACCACUAAUUAAAUAGGGUGGCUUGAUCCCUGAUCCAUCUCAAGAUUUAGGGAAGAAGUUGAUGGAGAUGGGGGAUUGAAGGAUUAGUAGGGAUGCAAAUAGUAUAUUGGUGAAAAUAACUAUGUACAUUUAAGAGACAACUAAAGAUGUUCUUGGGACGGUGAGGGACAGGUUCAAUGGCUAUUAAGGGGAUUUGCGGUAGAAUAGAGAAGUUUAAGAAAAAGUGGAAGAUAAGAAGGCAACCUAUGUUAAUUGGGUGGAAUGCAGGGAUGAGGAAGAAAAGAGGAUAAACAGGAUCUAUUAGGUGGUUAGGACAACAUCUAAGUUAGUAGUCACUGAAGCUAAGACGACAAACUUGGAAAGACUUUAUCCAGUACCAGGGAACAAAGAUGUAGAUAAGAAAUUUUACAAGCCUGCAAAAAUGACAGAGAGAAAGGCCUAAGACCUGGAUCAAGUGAAGUGCAUCAAGGACGAGGAUCGAAAGGUAUUGACAGAUGAGAUGCUCAUCGAGAAAAUAUGGAAAACACACUUUCACAAUGAUUAAACGAAGUAGGUGAUAUAACUAUUAUGCUAGGGGAUUUGGAGCACUUGAGAGAUAAGGAUUUUGGAUAUUAUGGAUGUACUACAAUUGAGAAAGUGAUGUGCACUAUUAGUAAGAUGAGUAAAGAAAGAGCGACCGGACCUGAUGAGAUUUUGAUGGAGUUUUGAAAGAGCUCUGGUAUUAUUCAAUGUCAUUUUUAAGAUAGGUAACAUGCCUGAGUUAUUUAAUGUCAUUUUUAAGAUGACUUAAGAUGACCAUGUUAUUCAAUGUCAUUUUAAGAUGACUAAGAUUCUCAAAGAAUAAAGAUGGGGUACAAUGGCCCCAUUGUACAAGAAUACAAGUGACAUCCAGAAUUGUGAUAAUUUUUAAGGUAUCAAGUUGUUAAGUCACGCUAUGAAAUUUUGGCAGUGGGUUGUAGAGAUAAGGGCGAGGAGGGGUGUUUCCAUAUCCAAAAACCACUUUGAAUUCAUAUGGGGGGUGAUCAACUAUGGAAGUCAUCCAUUUAUUGAGGAGACUAAUAAAGCAAUAUCCAUAAGAAAUGCGACUUACAUAUGGUAUCUAUUGACAUUGAGAAGCCCUACAAUAAAGUUCCAAGAAAAGUUUUUAGAAGAUACCUGGAGGGUAGAGGUGUAUUGCUAGCUUACAUUAGGAUGAUAAAAAAAUGUAUAAUUGAGCUAAAACACGGGUUAAGAUGGUAGGAGGAGACUCAGACCAUUUCUAUGUGAAAUAAGAUUGUACAAGGGAUCAACUCUUAGUAUUUUCCUUUUUAAUGUGGUGACGGAUAUAUUAAUUCAAUGCAUCUAAGAUAAAUUUCCUUGGUGUAUUUGCAUAUGACAUAGUACUGAUUGAUGAAAUGCAUAACAAAGUGAGUGAUAGGUUGGAGAUGUGGAGAAAAACUUUAUAAACUAAAGGGUUUAAGCUGAGUAGGACCAAAAUAGAGUAUCUAGAGUGCAAAUUUAGUGAGAGGUUACAUGAGGAAAGUGUAGAAGUGUUUUAGGAAACACAUAUUCUCCCUAGACACGAUCGUUUCAAAUAUUUUAGCCCUAUUAUCCAGGGUUGUUGUGUCAUAUAUGAUAAUGUCACUCAUUGUAUUAGCUCAACAUGGAUGAAGUAGAGGCUUGCCUCUGGAGUCUUGUGUGAUAAAAUGAUACCACCAAAGCUUAAAGUUAAGUUUUAUAAAUUGGUAUUAGACCAACAUCACUAUAUGGGAUGAAGUGUUAGCCAAUUAGAAAUUGUCAUGUUCAGAAGAUGCAUGUACAGAGACGAGGAUGUUGAGAUAGAUUAGUGGAUAUACUAGGUGUGAUGGAAUCAAGAAUGAGGUUAUUUGAGAUAAGAUGAUAGUAGACUCUAUGGUGGAGAAGAUAGUAGGAACGAUAUUGAGAUGGUUUUGACAUGUGAUGAGGCAAGGUCAGGUGCCCUAGUAAGAAGGUGCUAGAGGUUUGACAUAGUAUGUAAAAAGAGGGGUAGAGGUAGGUUGAAGAAGUAUUAAGGUGAGGUCAUUAAAUAGGACAUAACACAUAUUAAGGUUAUUGAGGAUAUGACCUUAGGUAGAAGGAUGUUGAGGAUGCAUAUUAGAGUAGAAGGUUAGUUGGGUAAGAGUGUUGUUUUGCAUAGUAUUAUGUUAGCUUAGGGUUAAGUCGUAUAUAUCUAUCAUUGUUGUUGUUUAUUGUGUUUCUAUUAUCACACUAUUUUAUGGAUGUUAUUGUUUUUCUAGUAGAUUUAACAAUGUUCCCUUGUAAGUUGUCAUAUUGUCUUCACUAUUUUCCUCUUUUGUACCUUGAUUUGAUACACUUGAGCUGAGGGUUGAUUUGAAAAUAGCCUCUCUACCUCCCUGAGGUAGUGGUAAGGUCUGCGUACAUUUUACCUUCCCUAAACCUCACUUGUGGGAUUUUACUAGGUAUGUUGUUGAUGUCGUAGUUUACAAAUUAAUUUGGACUAUAUUAAAUUCAAUAAAAUAGUUCAAAUAAUGUGGCAAAUAUAUUGGAUUAGUCAUCUAACUUCAAAUGCAUUGGGUUAAUCUAACUAAUUUGAAUCUAAAUGAUGAGUCCAUUUUGUUAGCCCAAGUUCCAAAUAGCUAUUAUCCUAGACUCGUACCACGUAUAAAAUGAUGUGGAUGUCCAACAAACAAAUAAGCCACUAAGGUUAUAUCACGUGUCAAAUGAAGUGGCAAUUCAAGUCAAAUAAAUGAGCCAUUAAAAGCAUGUCAUGCGUCAAAAUUAUAUAGAAAUAUAAAUCAAAUGAAUGAGCCAUAAAAGUAUUCCACAUAUCAAAAUUAUUAGGAAAUCCAAGUCAAAUUAAUGAACCACUAUAAUCAUGCCAAGUUUGUAUAUGUUAUGUAUGACCAAUCAAAUUAGAGUUUAUCACCAGAUUAGUGUGAUUGGUCAGAUCAUACUAAUCAGUCAAAUCACACUGCUAUACCAUUCCCUACAACUAUAAAUAAAGGUCCUCAUAAUCAACAUCAGGGAAUUAUUAACAACAAAAAGCAAGAAGUAAGAUUGUAGAUCAAAGACUAUAAAUUCUUGUCAUGCUAUACAUUUAAGUACUCAAGCAACCAAGUCCAAGAUCAAGGACAAAAGAAAAUAUCAAGAUGUUCAAGAUCAAGUUACUCGUUCAUAGUCAUAGUUGUGGAAACCAUCCACAUGUUCAAGACGAACAUUUUAAAUCCAUUUGAAGAUAAAGAUUCAAGAUCAAGAUAUUCAGGUCCUUGAAUACAAAUCAUAUUAAAGUUCAACAUAUUUCAUAUUAUUUUCUUUGAAUGAAUUAGAGGGUCAUCAUAGAAAUUGUAAUACUUACAUUAUGUGAAAUCAAAUACUACAUUUUAUUACUAAAUUUUACCAUCUUUAUGAUCAUUUUUCUUGACUUAAAAUUUUGUUGUUUACAAAUUUUGGCAUGCUCAGUGGGAUAUUUUUCUAUCUCUCAUCUCUUUACAUUAAUCAUUAUAUUUCAAGAACACUGAAAUGCCAUACAAAAGGUUUUGCUACAAAUCUAGUAUCCCCAAGGCUACUUACUCAAAGUUUUUCUCUGAGGAAAAAAUCAUACUUGAUUCUAUCAUGGGAAGUCUGGGAUCCAUAACUAGGAAUAAAGCAAACUUGUUAGAAAAAUAAGCACUGGAAGUGUCGUCCACAUUAGUUCCUUUCUUUGAUCAUCAAAUAAGAACAAAUUCUUUCUGAAUGAGUUGGAAGAAUGGAAACAUAUUGCCUAGAUCAUCUUCAAAUGAGAGCAGAUUUUUUCUUAAUAAGUAUGAAGAAUGGAAACAUAUUGCCGAGAUCAUUUAAAAGUCAUUGACUCAACUUAGCCCAUUCAGGGCCAAUGAUCACAUUGCACGAUAAUGAUGACGUAUUCCCCUUAAAUUUUAGUUUGAUGGAAAAUCUAUGCUUUUCUUCAUCAUCUUCAAUGGUCAUCCAAACACUGGUGACUAACACCUCAACUAUUGAAGAACAACUUGUAAGUGUGACAAAGGUUAUUGAAAUCAUGGUAAAAUAUAUGUAAGAUUAGGAUAAUCAAAUUGUCAAGUUCAUAGAUAGAGGUGAAAGUGUGAUGGAAAGAGACUUAAGUUAUGCACCUAAAAAGUGUCCUAUGGCAUAAGAAAAAAGGUAUUCAUCUAUAAAUCAAGUACAUCUUACCAAUGACUUGCAAGUAUCUACUCUAGUAUUAAUUUCAAUUCAUAAAUUUAGGGACUUAAUUAUGGAAACCAUUGAUGAUGCUCAAAUUACACCCCAAAGGUAUAAAUGAUCAUCAUCAAUAAAGUUAACCCAACAAGAGUUGGGGUCGAAUCCUCAAGGAACGAGAACACAAAAUUCAAUCUCAAGUGUUAGGAGUGACUAAAAGUUGGCUCGUAAUACGAUGUAAAUCAAACGACAAAGUAAAAUAGGGGGUUUGUUUUGAACACGUUAUAGCUAAUACUUUAUCAUGGUAGGAGUGCAAUUCUAAGAUUAAAUGACAUGAGUUGAAAACAAAUGUGGAAUGAGACUUGGGGUUAUUCUAUCAUAAGUGUGGUUUCAUGUAUUGUUAAUUAAAUAUUUGUCUAUAUUUAGCAAAUAUUCAUGGGUUGGCUAGAUUUCAAGGAUUUGGUGUCAAUUUGUCAAUCAAACACCAAAAUCUCACAAAUGGGUUCUUUCGAACACCUCAUAAGUGUAGCAAUUUGAGUAAUCUAUAACCAUAAUUAGUAUCCUUACGUCUAAGAGAUACUAUUAAAUGAUGUGAAUCAAGUUAAUGUUCACUCCUAUUCAUCCCUCUCACCCCUUUUACGAAGAAUGAUCAGGGUUCAAGGGUACACUAGAGUUUGCAACCUCUAAUUAUCAUUUUAAACAUGGAAUAGGAGUAAAACCCAUGUCAAUUAGCUAAUUAGAAAGACAAAUAAACAACACCCAUACAAUAAAAAUUACAACUUAUUCAAGCAUAACGUCAAACAACGAAAUUAGCUACUCGUUAAGAGAGAAAGAUAAAAUUUACCCAAAUUCUCAGCCCAUUAUUCCAGUGAAUCAAAUAUUAAUGCAAUAAUACAGAUCCAAAUUCAAUAAAGCUUAAGAGAAACUCAUUAGUUUCACACUUGAGGUUUUACUUUAAGUUUUGAAGCAUAAAAAAGUAUAAAGAUGGAGAUCUAGAGCUGAAAAAUCCUAUUUUAAGCCCCAAAUUCACAUUAUGCAAUAUUUAUGCAAAAACAACCGAACUGGUCACCUGCUACCAGUGUAGGUGAAAGACGUGCAUAUGCACAUCAUGUUUGCAGGUGCCACGGGUUGCCUUGAUUAAGCCACUUACAUGCAGGUCAGGCAUAUGCGUGCGCAGGUGGCUCCCAAUGUGCCCAAAUGAAAUUUUUAGCUUUUUUUCUUCACUUUCUGCACUUUGAAUGUCUCGUAUAGCUAGAUCAACCUCGUUUUAUUCUCCACCUACACAAAUAAGCAUUAUAACAUCAUAAUUAUCUUGAAUCAAGGGAUAAACAUGAUAAUUCAAGCUUAAAAAGUGCCAACAAGUUACAAAUUUGCCAACUUAUUAAUCAUAAAAAAUGAUUAUGAUGUUUCUUCCAAGCCACCCCUUACAGAAGCCAAACCAUGCACUAUAAGAAUCAAAGUUUUGAAGAUGCCUGCAAGUUAUUAACCUCUAAAAUUUCAACAAUUUGAUGGUAAGGAAAAUUCAAAGAAACAUAUUGCACACUUUGAUGAAACUUGAAAUAAUGCUGGAACCAUAGAGAUUAUAUUAUUAAACAAUUUUUGCGCUUCUUGAAAGGACAUGCCUUAGACUGAUAUAAAUAUCUCAAGGCUGAUUCCAUUUAUAACUAAGAAUAACUUGAACAUGAUUUUCUUAGUCAUUUCUAUAGCAUGAGGCACAUUGUAAAUAUAGUUGAACUCGCUAAAUAUGCUAAUAAAAUGGUGAAUAUGUAAUUGAGUUCAACAAUCGAUAGAGGAAUGCGAGCCUAAUUGCAAAUACAGACUUGUGAGACUUCUAGAUAAAAAUGUGCUUUCAAGGAAUGUAUUAGGGACUUCAUUACAUCCUAUGUGACAUCAACCCAAAGUUAUUUAAAUAAGUAGCCACACAUGAUCAUGAUACGGAAUUGAGAAUAUUCUCAAGUAAAAUUUAAGGACUACCUAUUUAUGAGCCUCGGAAAAAGUAUCCACUCAUGCUCAUGAUAGUGAGUGUCUAUUUAUAAUAUGAGAAUGGAGAUUAAUAGAAAUCUAUACUAUUUGGAAACUACUAUAUACCCAUGGUUGAAAAAUCUUUCUCAUAGUUGGUCUAUAAUAGUAAAGAUUUAUUAAGCUUACACCCCUUUUAUUGAAUUCAAGAUUGUUAGGUGGAAGUGUCCUUCUCAGGGUAUAUUUAAAUGCAAUACUAAUGGAGCUUCAAAGGUAACCCAAGCCCUAGUUCAUGUGCUUUUUGUAUAAGGGGUAAUGUCGGAGAAUUCAUAUAUGCAGAGACUAGUGGGUGUGGAGAUGUAAUGAUUUGGAUGCUGAAACUAUUACUUUUGAGAAGUGGUUUUGAAUGCCACAUUUCUAAUUUGAUGCCUGUUAUAUUAAAGACUAAAUGUCUUACUCUUAAAAAAGUGUUGGAUGGAAAUUGGGAAAUAUCUUGGUGCAUUAGUAUUUAAAGUAAAAAAGAUAAAUAGGUUGAGGGCAAGAAGAAGAGUAUAAUUGAAUACGUAUAGAGGGAAGGCAACUAGUUAGCAGAUUAUUUUACCAAUUAAUUUUCUAUUUUUCAGUAUUCAGAUAUCAUAUAUAACUCAGUCACAUAAGUUCCAAAUGAAGGGAAAAUAAUUAUAAGCAUGGAAAGAGAUCAGAUUCCCAAUAUUAAGAUAUCAAAAUGCCAAAAUAGAAAUUUUAAUCACCAAUAAACAAUUACAUAAUAAAGCUUGACAAUAUACAGGACAAGUAACUACACAAAUAAGUAAUAUAAACCAGGAAAGAUCAAUAAGAGUGCAAUAACAGAGCAGUACUGGAAAAUAUGAGUUUUGGAGUAAAAUUAAGAGUCAUAUACUCAUUUUAGCUGGAAAGUUUCUAAUGUUCCUUUAUCUUUAGUAGUGGUAUUAGCUCCUAAAGGGCUCAACCUGCUAAGAAAAAAAAAGGCUAAGAGCUUUUCAGCUAAACACAAGAUCAAUUUCUACAAGAAAAGUAAGAAAGAGGGCUUAUCUCAUGUUAGGUGAUCGGAACUUAUUAUAUGGAGUUGAAAAAAUCUUCUUUUAUACUGGCUUGGCAUUUGCCAGACUUGUGAAUUUCUAAGGUAAAAUCUAUCCAAACUCAAGUUAAAUUAGAUUUGGAUCAAAAAACACAAGGAAAGCUAGCUUACCUCUAUUAAUCUUGUGCAACUGCCAUCUCCAAACUUAAUGGAGAUGCCAAAUGGAGUUAUUUUUUGUAGAAGGCAUUAGCUCAUUAAUAGAAUGAAGGUGUUGCAAGCGCAUUGAACUUAUCAUAACCUAAAACAGGGUCUGGCCGUGAUGGGUAUCUCAAGUCCACCAUGGACCAGAGACCACCCCCUUUACCUACUCAAACAAAACAUAAUACCCUUGAAAUGGAUGAAUUUUAAACAUAUAAAAAGAUAGAUAAAGAUAAGCUCAAAGGAAUCUAAGAUAUGUUCAUAACCAAAACCCAAUCCACAAACCUCUAAAAGAUCCAAAACCAAUCUUUUCGGGACAUUCCCCCAAUGAUAGCCAAAAAAUAGUCUGAAACAAAGUCUAUGACAAAAGAAAACCAAAACAUAAAAUGAGGGUCCUUCGAAGUAUGAAAGCUCACCAUUUCUAGUCAAUUGAUGAUACCCUAAAACCUAAUGUCAAUAGCAUAAGAACUUAUCUAGUACAUCUCGAAUGUAAAAUAAAUACAUAAGAUGUCCAAAUAUAAGAGAAACUUUAUUAUUAAAAUGAAUGCAAGCACAUAGUCUAUAUGAAAGGUAGUAGAAUACAUCAAGACACCUGAAAGUUACCCAUUACCUUAAAAGCAUCAAAUAUCACUCGAAUCAACCAAGCUGGGAUAUAUUUGUAUUAGGAUCUACACUGAAAGGGAACAGUAGGCAUAGAAAACACCCACUUGUACUCAAUAGGUAUCAUCGGCUGAUUGAGCAAAGUAGAUGUAACACCCCGCAUUUUGGGCUAGAAUAAAAACCAUUAUUUCUAUGCAUAGAUGAUCCAAAAGUCAUAAAUUCUAUGAAAAUUUGGCAUUUUAAUCAAUUAUGUAGUGUGUGAACCUAUUUAAGCAUGAAUUGAGAUCAUAGAGGUCCCCUAACUCAAGGAUGAAUUGAAAGCUUUCCUAUUAUUCGAGUUUGAGUGAUUGUUGAAAUUUGGGUCAACUUCAAUCGACCAUAACAAUUAGUAUAUAAUGAAUUAGAGGGCCUAUUUUAUAUAAAAUAAAAUCUCUUCGAAUUAGAUUUCCAAUGAUACCAAUAUCACUUAAAUCAGAUAUCCAAGCGAAAAGUUAUGGUCAUUUUAGUGACUAAGACAAUAGCAUCAUGCGAUAAGCGUGCGACGCAUGCCCUAUCGCACUCACCAAAAUUUUAGGUUCUAUUUUCGUAUUUUUAAGGGAAAAAUAGGUAUCUUCUAUCCCUUAUCCAGCUAUAAUACGGGAUUAAAAACACCAAAAUAUGAUUCUUUUCUCUCAAAUUCAUCAAGAACUCACCCUAAGAUUUUAAACUAAAAACCCAAAUAUCUCAAGAUUUAACCAUGGUUUUUUCUUAAUUCUUCACGACUCAGAAUCCCCAUUGCGAGGGCUACAAUAGGCACCCAUCAAUCAUACAUAUAGCAUCCCAAAAGAUAGGGUUCUUUCAAAAGCUUCUAAUUUAAGGUACACAGGGUUUUCCUAAAAUCUCAUGGGUAUGGAAAUCUUGAUUUUAAGAAAAAGUUUUUUAGAUUUAUGAAUAUAUUCAUGCUUUAGAAGCAUUGAUGAUAUUGUUUUGGCCUUUAUGCUUUCCCCCAAAUUGAUUUGAAAUUAUAUAUACAUAUAUAUUGUAAGCAUGUGUUUUAAGGUUUAUGAUUGAAUUAAGAGCAUAAUUCAUGAAAAAUCCCUCUCUUGUGAUGAUUUUCAUUUACUUAUGAUAUACUAUGAAAUCAUUUGAAUGCAUCUUGAAAAAUAUGUUAUGAAAUGUCUUAAAUAAUGUUAUAUUUGGAUUAUGAUUUUGAUUUCAAAAGAAAGAGGAUUGUUUAUGUUGAUGAAUGUUGAACAUAAUUACAUAAUAAGAAUGGUUUCAUAGUUUGUUAAAGAUUACAUGACCACCACUUGUUUAUUGAAAGGAUGGGAAUUUUGCAUAGUUUUGACUUAUGUUUUUGGAACAUGAAUUUCCUUUGUUAAAUUGUAUGUUUGGGUGGUCUGAACUAUGUUUUAAUGAAAGAAUCAUGCAUGAUGUAUUGUGGCUCAAAAAUAGGACUUGUAAGUCUUGGUGUGACGACACCAAUCCAGAUAAUUUCAUCGUAAUUCAGAACAGAAUAGAAUGCAUGUUUGAAGUCAAAUUUUUCAGAUAUUGAAACUAGAAUAAUGCAUAAUUCAGAACAGGAUAAAAUUGGGUAUAAAGAGAGAUUAGGUAGUUUCCCAAAGAAGGCAUGAGUUUAGACAACUCAUUGCCCAAAAUCGUGAUUUGCUAAUCUAAGUAUAUUAUUAUACACUGGUCUAGUCUCCUAUGGCGUAUUAGACUCAAACACUCUAACCCUUGCGACACACUUAGGUUGGGGGCUUUCCGGCUGAGUCAAUGGCAGAUUCUAUAUAGCCCAUUGAAUAUCUGACUUGUAUGGGAGUGCUACCUAACUCAGAAGUAAUACAAAAAUUAGAAACUGCUUUUGACAAAAAGGUUUUUUUAUGUUUUUUCAAGAAUACCCAUGUGUUUUGAAAAUUUUAUCUUUCAUGAUGUUUAUGAAUAGCUCUCAACUAUUUUAUUUAUAUAAAAUCUUUAUUUUGGAUUGCUCUGCAUACCAGUACAUCUGUAUUGACCCCCUUCCCUCUAGGUUCUGAGGCAUAUUCUAAGGGUCCUGAUAAGUAGUAGAUUUCAUAAGACAAGAGUGAAGAGUACCAGUUGGUGAGCCUUCUAUAUUUCAAAAGGCCUAGUUUCUUUCAGACAGUUAUUAUUUAUUAUAGUUUUGGUCUAUUGGGGGACUUAUCCCAAUUUUUAGACAGUUGUUAUUUGAUAAUGUAGUAGAGAUUUCUCAGACGGUUUUCAUAUUGUGUUUAGUUGAUAUUGAAUUUUAUUCCUCAUUGUUAAACUAAAUUUAGAUUAUGACCCUAUUUUCAUAGUAGCUUUUAUUUCCAUAUUUCUUAUUUAUAUAUAAAUGGUGUAUAUGAUUACAAGUUAGACAGGCUUUCGAGCCUUCAUGGUUUAGGAUAUCUAUCAUGGCCAAGGCCCUAGUUUGGAUCGUGAUAAACUUGGUAUCAGAGCACGAUUCAUGGCCCAGGGUGUCUACGAAAUCGUGCUGGGUAGAUUCUAAUUUAUUGGUGUGUAGCGUGCCACACUUAUUAGUAAGAGGCUACUAGGUGUUUAGGAAUGUUUCUUUUUUUUUUCAUGUUCUAGUUUGUGCUAUUGGUCCAGAAUAUUUAUCUUCCAUGCUUUAAUUCAUGUUAUGGUGUCACCCUUACGAAAUUAAAGUUAUCCCAAUUCUUUCCUUACUUUGAUGUGCCCAGAUAUGUCUCAUUAUUAGGGUGAUUCAAGUGCAGAAGUUUAGAGUCUAAAUGGUAUGGUCCUUUCUGAUUGAGCCGUAUAAAAGUUUAAAAUUUUUAUAAGGACUUGAGAAGAGUCCAUUAGUGCUUCAGAGUGUAUUGAUUUUUGUGUGAACUUUGAUUUUGAUGAAAUCGUGCUUUUCGUCCUGUGGUAUUAAGAGUAUUCCAUCUCUUUUCAAAACUUUAUGUUGCAGAUGUCAUGCUUCAGGGGGAAUGAUAUAUAGCAGAAUAUUGGAACUGUAUUUCCACCCGAUUAGUGGUAUAAGUUAAAGUGUCGGUGUCAUGACUUAUUGGUAGUGAGAUUAGACCAAGAGGUUGGUGAUAUGAAGUCACAAAGUUAGAAGUCAGAGUGAGGGUGACUUUUGUGUAAAUAAAUAUUUUAGGUGAAUAACCGAUGUUUGAGGAUGAUUUACCACUUUGUAGUGAUAGACUAAUGUGGUAGCUAGUAGCAUGUGUGGAUUGUAUGAUAGUCUGUGGGGGAAGUGUUGGACUCAGAUUUUUAUUUAUAUAGAGGAAGAUAUGUAUCCUUAGAUCAUUGAAUAUUGUGUGUCAAUUUUCUAUCUCUUAUAAUAUGUAAUCUUGUUAUCAUAGUGUUUUUGUAAAAAAAAAUCAAAGUCUAGUGAAGCUGUGUGGGGCUCUUUCGAUUCACUAGCAUAAUUACUUUGUUAUUCAUUUUAUUUUCUUAUUAAAAACACAAGAAUCAAAGUCUAGAGAAGUCGUGUAAGGCCUAUUUUGAUUCACUAGCAAUUUAUUGUUCAACUUAUUGUUUUUGUGUUGGUUGAAUAUAUGUAUAGUCAAAUCUUUUCGCAUGAGAUUGAGUUGGUAAUGAAGUGAUAUGUCCUUGUGUGUUAGUUUAGUUGAAGGUAGAGAAGGAGUUAUUAGUUAAGGUGAAUUGUUGUCUUCUUGAAGUAUGAAAAUUGCUAGAUGAGCCAAUAAGUUAUAAUUAUAGAUUCAUGGUUGUUUGAGGAAUUUAAAGGUAGUCUAAAUGUAUGCUAGGGUAAUUAAGUCUGAUAUGAGAAAGCCAUGUAAGUAGAUAAGAUUGCAUGGGGUUAUAAUAUAAGAUUAAGGUUGACCAUGUCUAUUAUGUGACUUUACCCUCCUUAACCUUCUUUUCGUUGGUAGUUGUGAAUUAGUACUACUUGUGAGAAGGUAUGCAAUAUAUUUUUGAGGUAUUUGUAUAUAAUGUCCCAAUUUGAUGGACUAGUAUAUUAUGUUGCCUUCUUCAUUGGUGGUAGAUGAUUGAUGCUAGACUAUUGGCUUGAAUUUAAUGUAGGAUGUGGAUGUAAGAACAGUGGCUUGAAUUUAAUGUAGGAUAUGGAUGUAAGAAUAGUGGCUUAAGAAUAGUGGCUUAAGAUUAAUGAUCAAUGUAAGAAUUGUGUGUCAGGCUAGGUUGUAAAUCAUGCUUAGCACUAGACAUUAAGUUUGAAUAGUUGAUGUCCAUAAAGGUGGAUGUAAUGAUUUCUUAGUUAAUGAUACUAGUUAUAUGGAAGUGAUCUAAUAGGCUUAGAUAGUGUAUGCAAUACAUUAAGUUUAUUUGAUUAGUAACAAAGUAUGAUGUUGUAUGUAUGAGGUAGAAGUAUGUCCAAGGUGAUAUGGAGUUGGGGCCUUUUCUGAGACUAUUACAUGUUGCGUGUAGCUAGUGGACAUAGUAGUACCGUUGAGUUGCUAGGUGGAAAAAGACUUGUAGUAUGAUUCAUUAAAGGCUUGGUGAUAUCCAUGAUUAAGUGUUAUGAUCUAAGUUUGAAUUUUUAAAGGUUGAACCAAUAGAAAUAAGAGUUGAAGCGCUAUAGGGUGUGUACUCUGACUAUGGGAAUACUCAUGAGGAUUUGAAGUUAGUAAGUGUUCAAGUAUUUUGUGAUUGACUAUUCGGAAUAUAGAAAGAUAGAGUGUGUCUCAGAAGGUAGGAUUAGCAGUGGGUUUUCCCCUUCCAAGUGCAGCCAUUCGGGUUAAGUUCUAAUAAUUACGUGUAUUGUCAUAUUCCAUACCCCAGAGUGCAGUGAGUGUACUUCAGUUUAGAGUCUAGUAAUGUAUCUCUCUAACUUAUGAUGAUGACUUAAAGAUAAGGGGGAGAUGAUAGAACAAGUAACCAAAUCAGGCUCUCAGAUUCUAGUAGUGAUGUCAGUAUGAUAUAGAAUAUCAGAAAGUGAGGGUGAGACUCAACCCAAUCUUAUCUCAGUAUUUUUUAGUGAUCCCAAUACCUACUCAUGCCUUAGGUUUCAGUUCCAUGAUCAUAGUUCACGUAUAUGAUAGAGAAUCAUGUGCUUUUCCAGUUCUAAAAUGAGGAGUUCCAGUUUAUUUAAUAGUAGGAAUCACAUUUCAUAUGUUAUGAACUUCAAAUUGAGGUCAUGCAGCUCAUGACUCAUGUACUCACUCUUUAUAGUGUGCUCAAUUCCCAUAAUUUAUGCUAUACUCUUUAUGAUUGAUGAGAUUCAUCUUAUAGUUAUGUAUUCCCCAAUUUAGAUCACUUUGAUGAACCUCUGAUGUUGAUUUGCUAUUCCUUCGGCCUCAGUUAUGUGUUAAUUCUCGUAUAAUAUCCUCCCAUGCUUCAAGGUCUUAUGUUCUAACCUUUUAGUAACUCCUCCUUAUGUGAUGAUAGUGGUGAUGAGUAAAUGUUUCUUAUUAAUGGAAGAUCAUAGUAUGCUUGUUUUAGAUAAGGUCAUAAGUGUGAAGUAAGAUCUGGGGCCAAGUCUUUGAUAUAUGUGAUGGUUAGUGGAAAUUUGUGUGUGUAUGUUCUUAGGGUAGCGCGUGAGAGUAUAUUGAUAGUGGAUUAGAGAAUAUGUGAAGUAUGUCCUUAUGGGUGUUUGCCUUGGAGUUCAUAUGUGGUUAUAAAGAUAGGCUUGAAUGACAUGUUGAGUUUUAAGUGGAGGAACGCAAUAUGCACUAGUGAAUCCAUAGUAAGAGAUCAGAGUUAGUCAUUGAAGUGGUAAGGCAUGAUAUGCUUAGGGUGUGAUCUCUAAAAAAAAUAUAUAUAGAAGAUUGAAUCAUAUGGUUUAGACUAGUAUCGUGGUGUGGAAUAUUGUAUUUUGUGAUUUGAAGUUAGGCUUGAUCAUGAUGAGAGGACUUAUGUUACAUUAGGCAUUAGUAGAAAGAUUUAUCAAUGCCCAUAUAAGAAUUCUAAGUUGAAUCAAAUGAGUAUUGUAUUUAAAGGGAAUAAUAUAGUUAAGGGAGUAUUCGAGAAGUGUGCUAACCCUGAAAGUAAGAAGUUUCAUUGCCUAAGGCCUGGUAAUUUUAUCCUAGUUUAUGAGUUAUAUGUCUAUAUUCUAUGCUAUAGAGUAGUGUCACUGUUGUGAUUCCUUAGUUGGGUGUCUUGUGUAACUCAUGCCCAAGAUUCUUUGCUCCCGAAUGCUACUAGAAACAUCUGUUGCAAUUGUUGUUUAAUAUAUUUAAUUAUUUCCAACAUACUCUACAUUUAUUGCUAUAGAUAUAGAAUAUGCUAUAAUUGAUGUAUAAUCUAUUAGAGAUUAUCAAAUAGAUAUAGCAGUAUGUGUCAAUAGAUAUAGGCAUCUAUUGUAAUAGAUGUUUAAUUUGUUUGAUUAUUACCAAGAUAAUCUACAUAUAUUGUAAAAAAUAUGGAAUCUAAUGCAACGGAUAAAUAAUUUAUUGGAAAUAAUAAAAUAGAUAUAUACAUCUGUUGUAACAGAUGUUUAAUAUGUUUGAUUAUUUCCAACAUACUUUACAUAUGUUACAGCUGAUGGGAAAUUUGAUGUGACAGAUGAAUAAUAUGUUAGAAAUGAUCAAACGAAUAUAGACAUUUGUCACAAUAGAUGUGGAAUCCAUUGCAGAUCUUGGUGGAUAAUUGCUUAAAAUAAUCAAACUUCAUUCAACCAUAUUUAGAAAUAAAAAAUUAUUUAACUAUAUUUAAUAUUUAAGUAAUAACUUUCAUUACAAUCUUCAUGAAGUUGAUGGUAAUCUCGUGGUGAAAGAUGAUCAACUAAGUGUAUUCAUCCUAAAUUGAAUGAUUAAUUGGCCAAUUUGAUUUAAAUUGCUUUGUUCAACCAUAUUUAGUAAUAAACAAUGUUAUUAAUCUAUAUUUGACUAAACAUGGUUAAAUCAAAUAGUUCAAAUCAAAUUAGAAAAUUGAUUACUCCCUUCAAGAUGAAUACACUAAGUUGAUCAUGUAAUUACUAUGUAUUUCACCAUGUAUGUAACUAAAGUUAUUAAUUGAUAAUUUAUCAUAGUAAAAUGAUUUUUCUCAUUACUAAAUACGAUUUAUCAACUGGUUCUCAUCAAAUUAAUAAAUUGAUCACUCCAAGAAGGACAAACACACUUAGUUGAGAAUAUAAUUUUUAUCUAAUUCAUUAAGAUUAUCAUUGACGUUAUUAACUGAUAACUGAUUAGAGUUAAUAAUUUGUUCAUAACUACACAUUGUGGGAUAACCUAGUUCACAUCAAAUUUUUUGAAUCUGUUGCAACAAAUACGAUCAACUAUUGGAACAAAUGUAGAAUAUAUUCGUAAUAAUAAAAUGAAUUAUACAUCUAUUGCAAUAGGUUCCCUUAGUUGUUGUAAUAGAUGUAGAAUUUUUUCAGAGACAAUCAAAUUUAUUAUACAUUUGUUGCAACAUAUUUUAUUACUAUCUAUAAAUUUCACCAUCAAUUGCAAAAGAAUUGAUUAUUCAAAAAGAUUUUACAUCUAUUGCAACACAUAGUGUGCAUGUUGCAAUAGAAGUUGGAAAUGAUAUUUUUUUUCCUACACAUGCAACAAUUGUUGGAUGAAUACCAAUAGAUUAGAUAUUUGUAACAAGAUAAAAUAUAUUUUGUAUUAACAAAAACUAAGUUGACUAACAUACAUCACCAAUAAAAAUCAUCAAGUUCAGAAUAAAACCAACAAUAAUAUUAAUACUAUUACAAUAGUUAUGGAGCAUUUCAAUCUUGGCAUAUAUAUCUUUUGUGGACAAUUGUAUAGAAUAUUUAACACUUGUUUUUUCUCAUUGAUAAAUGUUUCUAAAACUAUACGCCUUCUUUUUAUUUGUCUUCUUCUCAAUUUGCUUGGAUAAAUAUUUGGGGGAAGUAUUUCUCUCUUAAAAAUCUCCAACGGAAAAAUCCAAGAGUCUUCAAGAGGAGCUAGAUAGAUUUCUUCAAAAUAUGCAUGCCAUGACAUAAUUUCUCUGGUCAUGAUGACUCCUACUAUAACCCACUAAAAGGUAUGCUAAUCUAUAAGCCAGAACGGCAAGUAAUAGACUACCAAGAGAAAAGAAAAAUCCAGCAGAAAAUAACCCCAAUAAAAUACAAAUAUAGAGAACCAAUCCAAAAACCUGGUGAAGUCAGUACCUGAUAUACUUAAAGAAAAGAGUGAAGGGUAAGAAUAAUGUAAACAUAUACAAAGCCAUCUCUGCGGUAAAAAAUAUAGAUCCGUUGAAAAAUUUAGGCAGAGUAGGAACAACUUAGGAUGUCAAGAGUUCAUCUGAAAUAUUUGAUCCAUAUUUGCUCCACAUGAUGCACGCUUUAACAACGAGAACUCCUACAAUGAUUUGCAGGAUCUAGAAGUAUUGUAGGAGUACCUAACACAAGAUACUCAGUAAGAACUAGCAGUCUAAGAUCAAAAGAUAAUGUAAAAAUAUACAACAUGUAAAGCAGGAAUAUAAGCUAUAGACAACUAUUUAAAAAUGAACUUGAUAAUGCUAAUAAGAGGUAAUGAUAAACUAUUAUAUAUAAUAUACAAUGGUAGAUUGAAAAAAUAGAUAUACAAUAUAAAUAAUAGUAGUAAAGAAGGAAAUGAUGUACAAAUAGUAAUUAUAGAUAAGUGGAUAUACACUGCACUAUACAGAUAACCAAAUAUGAAGGUACUACAUUGAAGGAGCUAGCCCAACAUCACCAAGGUCAUAAAUUAUAAGAGAGCUAAUGCUUGCACAUUUAGAGUCUCUCAUUGUAAGAUGGAAAAUCAUAACAUAAUUAACAAUAAUAACCCUUACCAUAACAAGGAGCAAAGGAAUUAAAAAAUAUACCAACAAUGAAAUGUACAAAUCCAUAACUAACCUGCCAUGAACUAUACAGUAAUAACCAAAUAAAAAUGUAAUUGUCUAUCCAAGACAACCAAUAACCUAACCGAGUAACUAUAAUACUAGAAGCCACAAGAAAUAACUCAACAACCAAUAACCUAUACAACCCUUCAUAUGACCGAUAGUUAGAGGCACCAAGAAAUUAUACUGGUAAAAAGAGAUGUAUGAAAAUGAUUGAUAGUAACAAAAGAACUAGAUGAUACAACAUUAAUCAAUUAUCAUAUCUAACAUAAGCGUAUACACCUCCUCCUGCUCAAUAGCUCACAAUAGAAAUAUGUACGAAAACUAUCCUUGUCCUAUUCUAUGAAUCAUUGCACAUAGGGUCCCAUAAAUGACUUGAGAUAUCCAUAUACAGUACCUGAUCCUAAAUUAAGACUUUUAUGGUCCAUCAUCAUAGAUGUACUUCAUAAAGUACCAGAGAAAAAUAAGAGUAUAACAAUUGCUCGAACUUAAACCAAGGCUAAAUAAGUAUAAGACUGUAAAUCCAUUGCCUGAAAUUAUUUUUAGAAUUAAAAAGGUAAAAAAUGUAGAAAAGGUCAGAAUAUCCCUAGAUCGAAGUAAGUAAAAAUGAGUGGAUCAAUAACAGACCAAAAUCCAUCUAGAUUCGUAUUUCCAAAGUAGUAUGUUUCAUGUAAAGUAUCAUAUUCCAACGAUAAGGGUGGUAUGAAUUCAAAUUUAAAAGAUUAACUUUAAAAGUGAAAAAGUAAAAAUAAAUCACUUUUAGAAAAUUAUAAUUCCCUAAGACUACACUCUGGGCAUCACAGGGUUCUUACAAUCCUGAAGAACCAUAAGCUAACCCAUGAUUGGUAUCUGCUAUGAGCACUAAAUAAUAAUCAUGAAAAUAUAUGCAGAAAUAAAAAUAAAAAUGCCUUAAGGUUCGUAAAACUGAAUCAAUAAUGAGUACAUCUGUAUAAUAACAGCUAACUGAAAGUGUUUGAAAGACACUAAUUUUUGAAAUAAACAAGUUGAGGGGAAUGACCCCAACUAACUCCAACUACUAUCUGAUAGUAACUAAAAAACUGAAAUACAGUAAAUAAUAAAAAAAACUAAUUGAGUGUCACAUCCUUGAUGUGUAAGGAUUCACUACUGUAGCUGAUGCUAAUUGACUAAUCUAGCUAGGUACGGUCAGGUGCUCGAGUGUCCAAACAUAUGAUACGAGACAUCAUAUUACAAAGAAAGAUUAUGCGUCACUACUUUUAAUGUACUGGUAUGCUAGGUGAGGUUAGGCUGAUAUGAAUGGGUUCACUUGCAUGAGAAUAAUAACUAAAUAUCAUGAAUUAACUGGAUGAGAGGAUAUGCAAGAUCGGGAUAACUACAAGUACUGAACAUGCAAUACCAAGAGUAUAUUAUCCGUCUGAGUUAGUCUGAAGCUAGUUUGAAGCUGAAGAACUGAGUUUAUGAUAACUGAAUAACUGAUAACUAUAAGUCAUGAUCAUGUAGAACUGAACUAAGUUCUAUACUUAAUAUUGAAUACUUGAUACUGAUAACUGAAUAUUGAAUACUGAAACUAUAGCUGUGGGAGUUAUCAUCUAACUGGCAUAACCCGAUUAUGGAUUGAUUUGGUGUCCAACCUAUAACCCCAGUUGGAAAGGUGUUAGCACCGUGCCACGGGUUACUAACAAUAGCUGGGUCAACCCUAAUCUGGCAGGAAGACUCAUGAGAUGUAUAUAGUUAAGUCAACUCUAGUAAAUACAAUUUACCUAAGCUGGCUAUGAAGUUCUAUAACUCAGGGACUACUACUAAGGGUCAAACCCUUUACUGGUAUGAAUGCCCUCAUUCCUGGGAUCAAUCGGUGUUGAAUCCUACUCCUAACUAAAUCAACACUGAACUGAUCAUUGGACUGUACUAGGCUUAACUGAACUGACACUUGACUACAUUAACCGACUGAAUGAUCUCGCUCAUGGUAUAACUAAAUUCAUUCUGUAGACUCUGGAAAACUAGACAAUAGAUAAAUUUCAUGUAUUCGAUACCCCCAAGACUCGAUUUCAUAGAUAAUCGAGGCCAAAAAUAAUACUAAGUGUCAACACUUGGCUGAAUUUUUAAAGUCUGGGACCUCUUUAGGCAUGCUAUAUGGGGCUGAAAUGGGAUAGGACUUUAUGGAGUCUUACAAUAUUACCCCUUUGGAAACAUUCGUCCUCAAAUGAGACUAAUUAAGCUAAGAGGCUUUGAGGUACUGAGAUUAUAUUGACUUGUAUAGCUGAAACAUGACUAAAUCUUGAGGCAUGACACAUGACUAAACUGAUCCAUAACUAUAUGAAUGAUAUGCAACUGAAAAUAAGCCUAGAACAGAGUAAAUCUAAGAAAUACUAUUUCCUUAGUUUGAGUCUAAAUUGGCAGAGAAGAGAUGAGGGUACUUGGUUUGCCAUAUCUGCUUCAGCUUCCCAAGUAUCUCCCUCAACGAACUGGUUCCUCCAAAGAACUUUGACCAGGGGAACUUCUUUGUUCCUUAGUCUGCGAGUUUGACGAUCACAGAUUUUAACUAGAACUUCUUCAUAAGAGAGACUAUUCUAAAUGUCUAUACUCUCCACAGGGACUACAACUACUGGGUCACCUAUGUACUUUCUUAGUAAUGAGACAUGAAACACUAUGUGCACUGAUGCUAAGUCUACAGGCAACUCAAGUUCAUAGGGUACCUUUCCAAAAUGACUCAGAAUCCUAUAAGGACCAACAUAUAAGGGACUAAGUUUCACUUUCUUACCAAACCAAUUCACUCCCUUUGUAGGAGAGAUUUUCAAAUACACAAAGUUGCCAUUCUCAAAUUCAAGAUCUCUCCUUUUCAUAUCAGCAUAUAAUUUCUGUCGAGUUUAGGCUGUCUUAAAUCUCUCCCUGAUUAGCUGCACUUUCUCUAAGGUAUCAAACACCAAAUCAGGCCCUACUUCUGUGGCUCACCUACUUCAAACAAACCAAGGAAAGAUCUACAUCUCCUCCCAUAAAUAGCCUCAAAUAGAGCCGUCUAAAUAUUGGAAUGAUAGUAUUUAUUAUACGCGAACUCAAUGAAAGGUAAGUAGUCAUUCCAACAGCCCUUAAAGUCAAUGACACACGCUCUCAACAUAUCUUCUAAAGUAUGAAUGGUUCUUUCUGCUUGACAAUCUGUCUGAGGGUGAAAGGUUGUACUGAGAUGGAAUUGGGUACCAAGACACUUUUGGAAGGCUUUCCAAAAAUAAGAGGUAAACUGUGUACCUCUAUAUGAAAUAAUGGACAAUAGGAUACCAUGUAACCUAAAAAAAUCUAUGAUAUAGAGCUGGGCAUAUUCUUCAUCUGAAUAGGAAGUAUGAACUGGCAAGAAAUGGGUGAACUUGGUCAUCCUAUCUAUGAUAACCCAAAUCAAAUUGUGCUUGCGACGAGUAUGACGAAAACCUGUCAUAAAGUCCAUAUUCACUUCUUCCCACUUCCAUGUGGGAAUACUAAACUCCUGCAUAGAACCACUAGGCUGUUGGUGCUCAAUCUUCACCCACUGACAAGUAAAGCACUUGGCCAAAAACUAUACAAUGUCCCUCUUCAUCCCACUCCACCAAAAGAUUUCCCACAAGUCACAGUAUAUCUUAUUGUCUCCUAGAUGAAUAGAGUAACACGCACCAUGCACUUCAGAAAGAAUUCUCUGCCUCACAUCAUCUACACAUGGCACACAUAGCCUACCUUGGCAACACAACAUAUUAUCUCCCUAUUAGGAGAAAACAUCAACCUUCUAGUCUCUAACUGACACUUUCAGCUUAACUAAACUCGGAUCCCUGUCCUACUUUAUUUUACCUUGAAAACUUAAGAAGAUUCUAAAAUAUUUUGCACCCAAACACUACCCUCAUUCGAAUCAACCAAACAGACACCUAAUCUGGAAAGAUGAUGAACUUUUUGAACUAACUUCUUUUUUCCAUCCUCAAUGUGAGCCACACUAACCAUGGACAACCUACUGAGGGGAUCUUCCAUUAUAUUGGCCUAGCCUAGAUGAUACAGAACACUCAUGUCAUAGUCUUUCAACAACUCUAACUACUUUCUAUGAUGCAAGUUCCUGCCUUUCUGCAAAAAUAUGUACUGUAGGCUUUUGUGAUCAAUGAACACAUCAACAUACACCCCAUACAAAUAGUGCCUCCAAAUAUUUAUGGAAAAAACAAUAGUUGCUACUUCAAGAUCAUUGAUAAGGUAAUUCUUUUCAUGAGCCUUAAGUUAUCUAGAGGCAUAGGUCAAAACCUUACCCCUCUGCAUCAACACACACCCUAAAAAAACUCUGGAAGAAUCACAAUACACAAAAAACCUAUCUGAACCAUCUGGUAAUGUAAAGACUGAGGUUGUGGUUAGUCGAGUCUUCAAAUCCUAAAAACACAUCACAAGAAUCUGAACACUGAAACUUAACUUUCUUCUAAGUCAAUUUGGACAUAGGGGAUGCAAUAAAUGAAAACCCUUCAACAAACCACUGGUAAUAGCCAGUCAAACUCAAGAAACUCCUAAUAAUUGAUGGAGAGAUAGGUCUACACUAGUUUCUUACCACUUUGGUCUUUUGAGGAUUAAAUUUAAUGCCAUCACCAAAAAUAAUAUAGCCAAGAAAAGAUACUAAUCUUAGCCAAAAUUCACAUAUACUAAAAUUAGCAAACAACUGAUGGGCUUUGAGAGUUUGUAAUACUUCUCUUAGAUAGUCUGCACGGUCUUUCUCAUUACAGGAGUAGACAAGAAUAUUAUCAAUGAAGAAUAUGACGAACAUGUCCAAAUAUUAUUGGAGCAAUCGGUUCAUCAAGUCCAUAAAGAUAUCUGGGGCAUUGCUGAGACCAAAUGACAUGAAUAGAAACUCGAAGUAACCAUACUGAGAUCUGGAAGCUAUUUUUAGAAUGUCACAUUUCCUUAAUCUAAGCUGAUGGUAAUGGGAUCUGAGGUCUAUCAUAGAAAGUAACUGGCACCCUAAAGUUGGUCGAACAAGUCAUAGAUUCUAGGAAGUGGGUAUUUAUUCUUGAUGUUGACUUGGUUCAAUUAAUGGUAGUCAAUACCUAUUCUGAGAGAACUUUCUUUUUUACGCAUGAAUAGAACUGGUGCACCUCAAGAUGACAUACUAGGCUUGAUGAACCCUUUGUUUACGAGGUCUUUCAACUGAUCUUUCAACUCUUUAAGUUCAGCUGAAGCCAUUCUUUAUGGCAGAAUAAAAAUGGGCUGAGUAUCAGGAAAAAGUUCUAUUCCCAAGUUAAUUUCCCUUUUCGAAAAAACUUGGGGAGAUCUUUGGGAAAAUCAUCAGGAAAUUCACUUGUGACAAGAACUGACUCAAGACUGAAGUUUUGGAACUAGAGUCUUUGACUUGCACAGCAUGAUAAAUACACCCUUUGGAUAUUAUUUUUCUGACUCUAAGGUAUGAAACAAGUUGACCCUUAAGUGCUGUGGUACUACCCCUCCAUUGAAGGGCUGGUUCAUUUGAGAACUGAAAAUAGACAACUCUAUAUCUAUAAUCAACUAGCAUAGCAUGAAUGGAGCCAAUCCAUACCAAGAAUAAUGUCAAAAUCCAUUAUCUUUAGCUCUAUCAGUUUUGCUAAAGUAACUUUCUAUGACACCAUAACUAGACUAAUCCUAUAUACCCGCUUAGCUAUAAUAGACUUACCCAUAGAGGUAGAGACUAAUAAAGGAUCUUUUAGGAUUUUAGGACUGACUCCGAAGUCGAUGGUUAUGUAAGGGGUUAAAAAGACUGAGAAGCUCAAGGAUCUAACAAAGAAUAAAUAUGUAAGUGAAAGUCUUGCAAUGUACUAGUAAAUGCAUCAGGAGAACUCUCCUGAUCCUGUUAGGACUGAAUUGCAUACAGAGUGUUUGGUUGUUUCCCACUAGUAGCAUUGGAAGCGGCACCCUGCUGAGAUGGGCAGCCAGAUUGAACUGGGGAACAAUUAUUCACCCUGCUGAGAUGGGCAGCCAGAUAGAACUGGGGAACAAUUAUUCUAACUCUUCGAACCUACCUGAGGACAUUCUAUGAUCCUAUGGCCUGACUUACCACACUUGAAACACACGUUGCUGCUAGCCCUAUAGAUACCCUGAUGGUUUCUACCAUAUUUUUAGCAAAGGGGAUUUGUUCGGGCGUUGUUCAACUACCCAUAGAUUUAAAUGCUAGCUCCCUAUCUUUAUUAUCAUUCUUGAAUUUGGGUAUCAGCACACUAGCUAAAGACAAAGCUGGGACGAAAGAUUUUAAGUAGAACUGAGGAUGGUUACCACCUUUUGACAAGUUAUAUAUUGGUUAGUAUGACAUUUGACAAGUUUUAUUCUUGAUAAAAAAAUAUUCCAUGCGAUUAAUAUGUAAAUAAUAUGAGAAGUAUAGUGCCAAACUAUAUGUUGUCAUGUGUCUAGCCCAGAUAUUGCUCCUUAGGGUACAACUUGAAGGGAACUAGCAGUAUGGUCAGGGUAUGAGUUAGGCUAAGGAGUCUUAUGUUAGGAAGAGAGUGAUUUGCAUCUUUUUUGACAAGGUACAAGUAGAAGGUGCCACUAGUAUGAUGUGGGUACGAGUAGAGGGGUCCAACUGUACCCAUCUACGAGUCUCCUAUAACUUUUAAGAUGAGGGUAUUUUAUACUUUUCUCCUCAAAAACCCUUAAGACACCAUAUAUUAUAACCCUAUUUCCUCAUUUAUUUUUCACGUAAAAUAUUAAAAAUUCUCUUAAAACACUCUCUAAAGAUGUCACAAAAAGAUUGGAUAGGGUUUCUUCAAAGUGGUCAUCUAUAGCCUUAAGGAUCAAAAUCCCUCGAUGAAUUAUCAUAAGUAAGGCAUGUUACUCCUCCCGCAUUGUUAGUUCAACUAAAGACAUGUUUUAAUGAAUUGUUUUCAUGGAAUUAUUAUGGAAUUAUUUGUUUGUGACAUAUAUGAUCGAUUUUUUUUGGUUUAUGGUUUGAUAAUGCUUUUCCAUAUUUUACUUAUGGUUUUCUUGUUAUAUUUAUGGUUUUGAAUAUGUUAUUGCAUGGGAAUGGUUAAUUGCUCCUUGGUUUUGCUUUUGGAAACUAUAUGGCCUCAAGACAAUUGUUAAAAUGUCUAUGAAAAUGAUUUUGUCACAUAGUUUAACUAUUAUUGACAACUUUGUAUUGGAUAAUAUGGUAAUGGAACCUAAAUUAGUUUGGUUGAUUAUUAAUGGUUUGGAAAGGCCUUGGUGGACAUGGCUUUGGUUAAUUAUCGUUUUGAAAACCUUAUGGGUUAUAAUAGAAUCGUUUAAGUGAGUAAUCUAUGAAAACCAUGUGGGGUAUACGAGAAUCCACAAGUGAUUUUAAUAAUGGAGUUUUGGGUAUAUGGGAUUCCACUCUAUGUUGGCUAAUGAUAUUUCUUACAAGCUAUAGUCAGUAUGACGAUACCACAUAAUAUUACUUUAAUAAUUAACUCCUGCAUUGGUGGUUUGGUUAUGUGUUAAAUAUUUAAAUUGGGUAAUAAUGGGGGUUUUGAUAGCUAGCCAUGAAGGUGUGAAUCUGAAAGGUUGACUCUAGAAACUCAUGUUUUUCGACAUGAGGAUUGGUCUUGAUGACCACGUACUUGUUGGGUACAAGGGAAUCCUCUAAGUAUACACUCAUGCAUAUGUAUCAUAGAGGGAGAAGGGUACAAAGGAAUCCCCAGCCACCUAUAGUAUCUCCAAUUCAUAUGGCUACAUGCAAUGGUGCUCGUUAAAGGUUAACACUAGACUCAUAUAGACCUACGUGGAUUAUAAUGGUAAAGCUACAUCACCCAGGUUAAAGUUUUAAAUGCAUGUUAAACUUGAUUCUCUUUUUUCGGCAUAGUAUAUAUGUAUGCUUAUGGUUGCAUAUGGUUAUUUACUUUGGUUUUAAAUAAUGUCAUUAUUUUAUCAAUAUUCCUUAGUACAUGCUACCAUUCAUCCACUAACCAUUUUCAAAUGUUGUAUCCUUAUGCGAUACAGGAACCGGCCAUACUAUUAUUCCUCCUUCUCAGUGACUUGGGUUUUCGGGGACAACCUGAGUCAGGCUGAAGUGGUGAGCUUUCAUUCUUCGAAAGGACCACUUCAUUUUAUUGUUUAUAUUAUUCAUUACUAUUCCUUUGACAUUGGUUUUUUCUAUGGUUGUGUGCAUGUCCCGACUGGAUAUUCUUUGGCAUCAUUUAGAGGCUUUGCAUGGGUUACUAUGGAUUAGGGUAUAUUAUGGUUUGUUUGGUUUAAUUUGGAUAGUGUGACUUGGUUUGGUUGGUCUCGGAUGUAGAUUUAUUCCCAAGUCAUUGAAAUUUUAAUACUCUAUCUUAUUAUAUGUUCAGAAUUCAUCUAACAUGAGUUGUAUAUUAGUUAGUUUGUUUGGUCUCAGAUGUAGACUUAUCCCUAAUUCAUUGAAAUUCUAAUACUCUAUCUUGUUAUAUGUUCAGAAUUCAUCCAACAUGAGUUGUAUAUUAGUUAGUUGGAUUGGGUAUAGGAGUGGUAACUAGUCGUGGUUGGACUUGAGAUCCUGACACAACUAGUCCCUGGUUUUGGUUGUGUCAGAUUUGUAUCAGCGCCUAGGUUUCAGGGUCAUGGAGUGUCCACAAAGCUGUGUCCAAUAAAGUCUAUUUUAUAGGUAUGUAGCAUGCCACACGUAUAGGAAAGAGGCUAUGAGAUAUUUAGGAAUAUUUAACUUUCUUAUUAUUCUGUUUUUUAUAUAUAGAGUUGAAAGUAUUAAACAGUCCCCUAAAUCUUCUUUUGUUUACGUUUCAGAUCAUGCCCUUUCAAUGAUCUGAAGCUCAUGGAAACACACUGGUCCCACACGAGGAUGACAUGGAUGGAUCUCAUCCAGCUCAUGGGGCACAGAUUAAGUUAAGGGUCGCAGUUUCUGAUUUCCCUAGUGGAGAUCCACCUAUGUUUAUUGACCUUACCCGAAUGGUGACACUCAUACUCAGUCACCUCAAGGAGAUGUUACCAAUGCUAGUUUCAAUGUUUAAUUUAUCUAUUGAUCCAGAUAGUGGCAUCUCUUUCACUCCUAUCUGAUCCUAUUGGUUUAAGAAAGAAUAAGAAGAGGUCAAGAAAUAGGUAGAGCAAGAAGUCCCAAUAUUAAGAUUAGGAGAUGGGUAAAAAAAUAGCGGUAGGAGUGGUGACUCUGAAUCAAUCAAUCAAAUGGGAAAACACCUUUCCUCUUUCGCUUUCUCUCCACUCCUACUCCUGUGGCUUCCCUUCCGGGUUCAUUUCAUGCCCCCUCCGGUUACUCUGUCCCUGGCAUCCCUUUCUUCCCCUUCAUCUUCGGGCAAGCGGGUGAACUCAUGGCCUAUUCCCUGUUUGAUUCUCUAGGCUAGUGGUCCCUUUUUGUGAGUUCCCAUGUGUUUAUCAGUGUCCCUUAUCCUUAGAAUUAUGGUGAAGAUCAUUUUAUAGUUGGUGGAGCUCGGGUAGCCCUCCUCUAUCCUCUCUGCCAGUUUUACAGUCUGGUAUUGUGUGUAUUGCUAUAAGGGGAGGAAUCAGUGUUUUAGUUGUGAUCAGUUGGGUCACAAGUAGCAGAAGUUUCCAGAAAGGAUUGCAUUUGGGGAAAAUAGGAUCCCAAUUUCUAUUUCCCUAGCUCCUGUUCCGAGAGGUGCAGUUUCUGGCUUCAUUACUGGUUGGGACUUCCAUUAUGAUCUCACUAGCUGACAGGAGUCUGAAGCAUCAAAUAAUAUUAUGAAUGGUAUGUUGUAACUCUUUUUUAAUGCAUCUAAGGUAAUCUCUCUCUUAUAUGACCCCAUUUGUGGCUGUCAUUUUGGUUUUGGUCCAGAAUAUAUUUUGGACCCUUUUCUUUUCUACCCGAGUGGGUGACUCUCUGGUGGCUAGUAAAGUCUACAUGGGUUAUGUGGUGUCUGUAGGUGGUUGGGAGACUUUUGUGGAAUUAUUUGAAUUAAGCAUAAGUGAUUUUGAUGUCAUGUUGAGAAUGGAUUGGUUGAACUCGUUCUAUGUUUUCUAGAUUGUUGAACCCAUAAGGUCAUCUUUAAAUUUCCUAUGUAGUAGGUUAUUUAGUGGGAAGGUGGUUUCCUAGCUCUUAAGGGGAGGUUCAUAUCGCAUGUUAGAGCCCAUAAAUUAAUUUCCAAGGGAUGUCUUUACCAUUCGAUCAAAGUUAAAUAUUCCAACUCAGAAGGUCCUUCAUUACAUUAUGUUCCUAUGGUUAAUGAUUUCCCUGAGGUCUUCCCUGAUGACCUUCCAGGUGUCCUACUCAAUGGGGUAAUUAAUUUUAGGAUUGAUCCACUUCUGAAUACUCAUUUUAUCUCUAUACCUCUUUUUAAAAUGACUUCAGUUGAGUUGUAGGAGCUUAAGGAAUAGUUGAAGUAUCCUUUUGAUAGGGGUUUGUCUGCCCUAGCAUUUAUCCAUGGAGCGCUUCCAUUCUUUUGUGCAUAAGGGGGAUGGUUUCCUCCGAAUAUGUAUAUUUUAUGUGGGUUACUCAUUUAGUAGUGCAUGGUGGUCAAUAGACACUAAGUUUGGACCUUAGAUGUUAAUUUUGGUGAAAGAAAUAUGUUAGCUUAAGGAUAGGAAUACGAAAUUGGUGUGGGUAGAUUGGUAGGAUAUGUAAGGUGUGGAGAAGAAAUUGAGUUUAUGACUUAGGGAAUAUAGGGGUGGGUAAGGUUUUGAUAUAGAUGUCGGAGGUCCAGUUUGAACUUAUUGACUAGGGAUAAGUUAUCUGAGACCCACAUCUUCAAGGCUUAGCUACAUAAACCCCAUUAAGCCUAAUUAAAAAAAGAUUCACCUAACCUAUUUAUUAACCAAAGAAUUAUACAUUAAGGCACACCACAGGUAUCGACAUACCAUUUAGCUUGCAAUCUUAUAGCUUUGCCAUUACCAUUCAAUUAACUUAGGGGAAAUCCUUGACCCCCUUAGUUGAUUAUUAAAAACAUAUCUAACAAGGCCUUCAAAAUCCAUGUUCAUUCUUUAACCAUUUAUGAAAUGAAACAGUGUAGGUGAGUAAGUCAAACCAUGUGGCAAUCCCAUAAUUAAUAGUCAUUUACACAAGUAGAUUGAGGGAACAAUAUUAUUCUAAACCAAUUCCAAGUUCAAAACAUCAGCUUAGGGGAAUACCUCGACCACCAUUCCAAUUUCCCCACCCAUGCACCCUCUUAACUCAAGAACAUUCAAUCCAAAGAAUAAACAACUCAUAAAAACCAUGGGAAAACAAUUCAAGAAUCAGCCAUUCCAAAACCCUCAACCUGCAUCAAAACCCACAUUCAAAUCCACAUAAACCAACCAUUUAAAUACGUGAUUUUCAUAAAUAAAAUUUAGGAAAGAGUAACAUGCUUGAAAGUAUCACAACUAUGGACAGAAAUCACCCUUGAGAGCCGUAAUUGACCAACUUCUUGGUCACUUUAAGUGUUCUUGUCCUUGGGGAUUUGAGAGAGUUUAUGAAGUUAUUUUGAUAUGUUUUUGAGUGAUAAUGAUACCCUAAAGGGUUUUUAAGUCAUGGGGAAUCAUAGGGGAAAAAGGAAAAUGUCCAACUUGCUCUUAAUUAAAAGCUGAAAAAUUAUUGUCAGUGAUUACUGGUCACUAUAUGACUCGUGAGGACACAUUACAAAUCAUCACCACGAGUUGUAGUCAAGGCAGAAACAUGGGGUUUCUACACUGUUGACCUUACUAACCAGACCAUAUGACCAGCCAAGUGACCCUAUGACUCAUAGGGUCUAAGUCAUAACCAAGACAGAACAAUAUGGGUAACGCAUUUUCAACCAUACAUUUAGCACCUUAUGACUCGUAUUGAGUCACUAUGACUUAUGACCCCUAGUUGUAGUCACAAUAUAAACUUUAGGCUAGUAUACUGGUCAGGCUAAGAUUGGGUCCUUAGGACUCAUAUGGACACCUUACGAAUUAUAAGGAGAGUCAUAGGUUGGUUAGUGAGCUUAAAGCUCAGGAAAUUUUCAAGGACCAAAAUCAGGGGUGUUAUACAUAAGUCACCAAAUCAUAACUCCAUAACCAAGAAUCUAUCUAAACCGUAUUAUCUCAUACAUAAUUACCAAUGUCGGACUUGAUCUAUUGGAAAUGAACAAGAAUUUUGAUUUAUAAAUCAUAUCAAUGAACCAUAUCAAUAAGAAGAAUCAAUAAACUAACUUAGUAGACUAAACCAAUUAACUAUAACUAUAUACCAUCCUUUUUACUCAUAUCGAUACACCGGACAAAGACUCAAAACCAUAAGUCAUAUCGGUACCCACACCCAUAAACCAUACCAAUACCAUAUCUAAUAAAUCAUUCCAAUAACCAUUCCCAUAGGCCAUGCCAUGUCUAUAUAUUAUUUCAAUAAUUAUAUAUAGAAGUCAUUAAUCAUAAUCAUAAGCUACUAAUCAUAUCUAUAUUACAUUAAUCAUAUCAAUAAGCCAUUAAUUAUAUGUAUAAGCCAUUAAUCAAAUCUAAAUCUAUAUUAUUAAGUAUGUUGAUAGGCCAUAUCAUUAAGCAUAUUUAGACUCCAUAUUAAUAAUCAUAUAUAUAAGCCAUAACAUUAGCAACACCUAAAAUUACCAUCAAUCUUUCAAUACCCAACUAAUAUAUUCAAUCUCCUCAAGCCCCAAACAAAUCAAUAAUAAGGGUAUAUCAAGCGCAAAUAAGUCUAUAAGGAUAACACAAGUCUUUCCCUAAGGUGGGAUUAAGGGGCCCACUUUUAAUUCCUGAAAUUGAUUUUAGGAAACUUCUACCCUAGACUAGGCUAGGGAAUCUAAGUUCACUUCUAGAUGUUGGUUAAGACAUAAAUAACCCUAAGAUAGUAAAUCUUCCUAAAAAUGACAAACUAAGUAAAUCCCACAUAAUAUAAUAACAACUAAGGAAAUUUCCAUCAACUUAAGCGGCUAAGGCCAAUUCCACCCUAAAAAUUAAUGAAUAAGGAAAUUUCGCCGAGCUUAAGUAACUAAGGCAUGUCCAUUCUAAACGUAAGCAAUGUAGCAAAACUCAACUAAAACAUCAGUAACUAAGAUAAAUACACCCUAGGCUAUGGUUUCAAGAUACCCUAGACAGUCCAACUAGUCCAAAUAUUCUCAUUCAGACUUCUAACCCUAAAUCUCAUCCCAUAUCUAGCAUGAUAUCAUAAUCAUACUAUGAUAUUGCUCAUCUGCAAUGAGUGUAAACCUAGCCUACUUGGAUGUCAAAGAAAAGCCCAAAGAAUCUACUGAAUCACUGAUUUUCUCUUUUGACAAGUUAUUGCAAGGUGCCAUCAUAUCAAAAUUAGAGUCUACUCAUCAAUAUGGGAGAAAUGAUAAUUAUAUUGCACUAUUGUGCUUUGGGUCAAAAAUUACAUAAAAAUUCUAUGUGGGGCUCAUUAUGGAACCAUACAUUUGAAUCCAAAAAAACAUCCUUCUAUGCUCAAUGAAUAUUUACCCUAAAAAUAGAUGAAUUUUGAGCUUUAAUGGUGCUAUAUCAAUCCACCAAGAUUUGAGGAAUUUUAGAAAAAGAUAAAGGAUUUAAUUCUAAAAUAGAUGGAAGCUUACCACAUAUUUGAAUGAGAAACGCAUAAAUAAACUAUACCAGAGAUCCAAAAUCACCCAUAAUUCUUUCUCCUAAGAGUUACUAGUUUUUAGGCUUUAAUAUUCUAGAGAAUGAAAGAAGAAUGGUGGAAAUCGGGCUAAGUGGGUAUUUACACCCUUCCCAGUUAUGUGGAUACCACUAAUACAUACAUUGGACCACUUUAGCAGUCAGCACUAAAGAGUCAAGUUGAUCGCUAAAGCAGUCUCUCACUGACAUGGUAGGCCGCCGAAGCGGUUGGUUGGCAUUAAAGUAAUGAGAGCACCCAAAAGGUUGAUUUAGCAGUUGCAUCAGAUUAUCUUGCAAUAUCUAGACACUUGGAAUAUCUUAAGUCUUCGCCAACCCCUCGGGAUUAAUCAAGAAUCCUGUAUUUGUAAUCAAACUAUGCUACACUAUAAAAUUCAAUUCUCGAGACUUAAUAACACAGUAUUUUCCAUCCAAGGUCAUUUCUAAAAAAAUUGGGUCCUACGCCCAUGUUCCAUUUUCUUAACUUUUGGGUCUCACCUCAAAUGUGUUUAACAACCCAAUUGGUGACCUACUCUUCUACCAUAUAAGGCCUCAAAAGGAGUCGUGUCAAUACUGGAGCGGUAGCGAUUGUUGUAGGAAGAUUCAAAUAAUAGUAAGUAUUGGUCCCAUUGACCUUCAAAAUCCAUAACACAAUCCCAACUCAUUUCCUCAGACAUUUUAAUGUUUUAUUUUGAUUGAUCAUCGAUCUAUGGCUAAAAAGUUGUGCUUAUGUCUAAUCGACAACCCAACUUUGACUGAGACCACUCCCAAAAAUUAGAAAUGAACUGGGUACCCUAUUUUGAUAUAAUGGACACCAGUACCCUGUGUAUCCUCACAAUUUCCUACACAAAAAUAUUGGCCAAGUUUGCCACAUUAUAAUCAACUCUUACAAAAAUAAAGAGGGUAAACUUAGUCAACCGAUCAACACUAACCAAAAUGGAGUCAAUUUUUUUAAGGUUUUCAGAAUACAUACCACAAAAUGCAUUAUUGUCCAUUCCCAUUUCAAUUCUGAAAUAGGUAUCUGCAGAAAAGUACCACUAGACUUCUGGUGUUUGUAUUUGCCUUGUUGGAUGUUUUGACAUAGAACGAAAAAAUAAAUAAUGUGACACUUUAUAUUUCGAUAGAAAUAACGUUGUCUCAAGCCUCUAUUCCUUUUGUUGGAAUGCCAAUAUAUGGAGUACAUAGAAUUAUUAGUCUCUGCCAGAAUAGUUGAAAUCAAGUCACCUACCCGAGGUACACAGAAUUGACCUCAAAUUUUCAAGAUCCUUUCAUUAUCAGGAAUGACCUCCUUUUCCUCCCCUUGUAACACCUUUUCCCUAAGGUUGUUCAAUAUCUUAUAUCUAAACUAUCUACUCUUGGUAUGGUCAUAUAAUGUGGACCUAGCCUCCAUGUGUGCCAAACCUUUCCUUUACUAGCUUCUUGCAAUCUCAGAAUAUUAUUAGCCAAAGACUGUACCACUCUUUCUAAUGGUCACACUGAUACCUCUAGAAAUGCUAAGCUCUCCAUGCUUACUGGUUUUUGGCUUAAUGCAUCCAUCACCCAUUGGCUUUACCUGGGUGAUACAAGAUUAAGAUGUCAUAGUCUUUAAUCAACUACAUCUAUCUACAUAAUCUCAGAUUCAAGUCCUUCUGGUUUAAUACAUGUUGUGAGUUGUUGUGGUUUGUGAACAACUCACACUUCACCCUAUAGAGAUAGUGUCUCCAAAUUUUUAAAAUAAACUUCACGACAGUUAAUUCUAAGUUACUCUAUGUUAUGCUUUUGUUUUCUUGAAUCAUAUGCAAUCAUAUUUUUACCUUGUAUCAACACAACACCUAAAUCCAAAUGUGAGGAAUCAAAAAUACAAUAAAAUGUUUACCCACAACAGGAACUAUUACUAGUAGAGCUAAAGUUAACAAGGUUUGGAGCUUUUGAAAGCUCUCCUCACACUUUUAAUACCAUUCAAAUGGAACUUCCUUUUGAGUCAGGCAGGUCAUGUGCAAAUCUAUGGCAUCAAAACCCUUAAUAAACUUAUAAAAAUUACUGGCCAAUCCCAUAAAACUAUAAAUUUCUGUCACAUAUAUCAUUCUAGCUAAACUUUUACCUGCUUCAACCUUUUGUUGUUGCACCAUAACCCCUUCUUUAGAAACCAUGUACUUUAAGAUGGAGAGCAGAGAAAGCAUGAAUUUCCAAUCACAGUACUUAGCAUACAAGUGUUUUUCCUUAAACAAAGUAUGCACAUGAGCUUCAUGCUCUUAUUUACUCUUAGACUAAACAAGUAUAUCAUCAAUAAACACAAUAUUGAAUUAAUACAAAAGGAACUUAAAAAUUUAAUUUAUCAAACUCAUAAAAGCAACAAAGGCAUUAGUCAAGCCCAAAUAAAUAACAAUAAAUCAUAGUUCCCAUAACGGUUUCAAAAGGAAGUCUUUAGAAUGUCCUCUGACCUGAUUUUUUAGUUUAUAAUAACCCAACCUUAAAUUGAUCCAAGAGAACAUUAUAGCUCCUUGUAGUUGGUCAAUCAGGUUAGCUAUUUUAGGCAAAGGAUACUUGUUAUAGAUGGUUAUCUUAUUCAAUUGUAUCAUAUAUGAACAUUCUUAUAUAACCAUCUUUCUUCUUCAAAAAUAACAAUGGUGCACCCCAAGAAGCGACAUUUGAGCAAAUAAAUCCCUUUUUUAAUAAUUCCUGCAAUUGGAAUUUCCACUCUCUCAACUCUCUAGAUGUGAGAUGAUAUGGAGGAAUAGAAAUAGGUUUAUUCCCCAACUUUAAGUCUAUACAAAAGUAAACUUCCUAUCUAGAGUCAUAUCUAGAAGUUUAUUCAAAAACACUUUUAGCAAUUUACAUACAACUAGAUUUGACUUUAUAGGAGGGACUACAAAUAUAUCUUCAAGAAGAUAUGCUAAAAGUACCUCACACCCCUUUCUUACUAAUUUUUAGCCAUAAAUUGUAGACACAACCCUCACCAGAUAAGACUUAAAUAUACCUCCUUCUCUAACUUCAUUUCCCUAAGCAUUUCUAUAGUGACGGUUUUGGCAUAACACUAAAGAAUAACAUAAAAAGAGGACAACCAACUUAUCCCUAAUACAUGAAAUUACUCCAUGUCUAAAAUGAAUUAAGUCUUCUAGGUUCUCAAACCCCAUUAAUAUUAGAGAAUAUGCAUAAUAUACCUGAUUAACAUAUGUAGACAGCCCAAUCUAUGUAGACACAUUCAUAUAAGCAUCAAGAUAUUCACAGUUUAAGUCCCAACCUAUAGAAAAUUUUAUAGACAUAUAAAAAAAUGUGGAACUAGGAUAAAACAAUAUAUAUGCCAUAUUAUCACACACAAGAAUAGUACAUGUGAUCACCACAUCAGAAACUUCUACCUCAGGGCAAGCUAAACAACAUAGAGAUGAGCUUUGUCACCACCUUGUUUCCCACCUCUACCACCCUGAGCUUAAUUUCUACCAACUUGUCCCUAAAUGUGGUUGGCCUAGUUAGCACCCCUUACUUGACCACCACACCCUAAUUAUGGAUGACCUCUACCAUUUUCUACACUACCACAACCUAUCAGAAUUAGAGUAGUAGAUGUUAGCUGCUAUGUCAAAUGACCUAUAAACAAGAAGUUAAGGAAAUGCCUUCUGACAUGUUCCAUACCCCUACACUCAAAUUUAUUGGGUCCCAAAAAAUGCUUCUGAACUAAAGAGGAAGAAGGUCUGUAGCUGCAGGGUUGGGAAGGUAGAUGACUUGUUUAAGACAGACCCCUUAUAAACAGUAGUAUAGCAGAAAGGUAGGGGUUAAAAGAACCACUCCAUUUUAAAAAUUACAACUGAAGUGGCCUAAGGUUUAGCCUUCUUCUCUUCUUCCUUUACUGCUCCCUAUUUCUCUUGUACUUUAAACUUCUUGGCAAAUUCAACAACAUCUUGAAAAGAUUUACCAUUCACUCCCAUAGAUAAGGUAGCCAACUGAAUCCUCAAAUAUAAAACCCUCUAGAAAUAACUAAUAUGCUCCUCUUAUGAGUUACUCAACUAUAGUGCAUAAAGAGAUCGUGCAUGUAACUUUGCAUUAUAGGUCGCCACAGACAUGUUACCUUGCUUCAAACAUAGAAUCUUAUCAUUCUUUUAAUCAUAAUAAGUUCAGGGAACAUAUUUCUUAAGUCUAAAAUUAAUACCAACUAAUUAGAGUUAAGUAGCCCUGCACUCUACAAAUGACCUCUAUCAUUGAUUGGGCUUAUUCUAUAGCUUAAAGAAAACAAGCUCCACCAUAUUCUUUUUAGCGAUACUUUUUUGAUAUAGACGUUCAUGACAAUAUAUUAAGAACUCCAAAGAAAUCUUAGAAAUUGUACCUUGGAAUGUCAGGGGCUUCAUCUUUAUAAACAUACAAAACAACACUGCUCCUCAUCAGUCAUUAUUGAUCCAAGUACCUAUUGGGAGUACACACUUGUUUUAGACACUACAUCCAUCCUAGAUACUAGAGUAGCAAUAUAUUGCAAGGCUAUGGAUGGAGCAGGUAGAAUCACUAUCGUAUAGGUAGUGCAACAAAGCUACUCUAGAAUUGCAACACUUGUUGAGUCACCUCCACAAACAAAGGCACCUGAUCUAUUCUAUUUGGUGUUGGCACCAUAUUCUUUGGAUCCAUUAUUUCUUCUUACUCAAUAACCUCAUCUUAAUCCUAAGCAUGACAUGGAGCAUUCUUUUAUAGGGAAGGAGACCGUGAUCUCUGCCUUGCUGACCUCCUCACAGUUAAUGCCCCACCUUUAACAAGUGUUGUUUCUAGUCCCUCUAUUCUACUUUUUCUCUAACUCAAGGCCUUCUCUAGACUAUGACCUUAGUAAUUGAUGAAGGUGUUAUUGUAGGUAUUUCCACUGGUGGUACUGAUGCUGCUUUGGUAGAAUGAAUACUCAUCAUCUGCGAACAAUAUUAAAAGGACUAGAUACAAAUUUUAGUAGCCAGAUUCCAAUUGUAAUCAAGUUAUAGCAUGAAGGAAAGAAACAAAAAGAAUUCAUUAAUAAGGUCUUAUACCCUCUUAAGGAAAAGUACAAAUACCUCUAUACCAUUUCGUAGGAUCCUAUUCGACAUGUUCUAUGAUAAGAUCUAUGAACCAAGUGCUCUGAUACUAUCUAUAUCAUAACCCAAACAACCAUGAUUUUCUCCUACCCUAUACUAUGGAAGGAGAACCAUAAUACACUCACCUUUACUUACUUAAAUAUUAUUCUCACAUUCUUGGUAAUAUUAAUUCAUAUUUUUAACAAGUACUAAAAUAGUCUCAUUCAGCAAAUAAUAAUCAAUCGAUGACAUUAACAUCGUUAAAAAUGGAGUACAGAAUCCUCUAUUUAUUACAUCAAACCUCGGUACUUGAAGUCACCAUUCAAAUAAAUCUAAAAAGAACUAAGUUACGAAAUAUUGAAAAUAUCUAAGAAUAUAAUAAGAGAAAAUUGUCUUGGUCUUGAAAACAAGAGACGUCAACAUCAUUAGAGGAUCUAAAGUUUGACCAAACAUGGUGCUCACCAUAAAAAUCAAGAUUGAACCACUAUUUAUAGCCGAGGUGAUGUGUC
rnacentral:lncRNA from 1 species